UUGAUUAGUUUACUACAUUUAUUACAUGACUUGGUUUGAUAACACCGACUCCAUUGCAACACUGAAAAUAAUUUGAAUGUGCUGGAUGACUACUAAUAUGCAGCUGGUACACGGGAGCUACAUCGUGACAGCUGAACCAGAAGGUACAGAUCCUUCUAAACAUGGAAUUGUCUGGGAGGAUAGGUAAUCAGGUGUAGAUAUGGAAUCAACUAUAAAGUCAUUUGGCCCAAGAUCAUCGAUAGGUGGACGUUGUCUAUGGUGCUCGGUGACUGACUGAUAAGCCAUGGCUAGUGCGAGAGCCUGCACAUAAAGAGAACAAAACAAAACUUCAUCACCUACUAUAACUUGAUUUUCUUAAUUGAAAAAUCAGUAAAUAGACUCUUAUCAUUGAUCUUACAACGUGAUCAUGGUUUGGAGGAGCAUAAAUGCCGGUGGUGAUGGUGGUCCUUCGUCGACUACCAUCAGGAGGCGGGCUAGAUAUUUUGGUAAAACCUGUUGGGAUAAUAAGAACAGGCAUACCAACAAGAUUGCCCAGGCAGACUUUCUCCCAAUCAGUUGCAUUGCCAAUGAAAGCAUCGACAGUAAAACUUUCUCUAAUUUCCCGAAUUAAUUUUCCUCGUGCUCUCUGUGCCUGUGAACAAUAUCACAAAUCCUAAUCACAAUAAAAUAGAUUAAGAUUAUAGAACAUUAUAAAUUUUAAUCCCAACCCAUUUCAAAGUAACAAGUUCAUUUGACGAUGAUGUAAUCAGAUCUUAGAGAACUAACCUGAACAUAGUCUACUGCAGGAAUCAUGCGUGCACGGCGUAGUUCAACAGGCCAUUGAUCUUGAGCUUCAUAAAAGUCAUCCUCCCCAGAUCGCUGCCACUCAUCAAAGUGAGCCAACAUAUCAACGUCCAUCGUAAAAUUGAGGAUUCCUUGAACAUGGCUGACAGUGUAAUUCAAUUUGAAAGGAACCAUUUUAACACCCUUUGAUUCAAGUAUACGAACAACCUGGCAAAGCCAUCCCAAGAAAGUUCGAUAUAUUAAAAUCCAAAGUAACUCUUCAAGCAGCAUGAAUCUGAUAAAGUUCUUGACCUGGCAAAGAUCUGAGUGAUCUAUCUAAUGAUAAUUUGAACUCAAAAAUUUUAAUUUUAAUGCAUUGUCCCACUCUUACCUCCAUCUCAGCAUCAUCCAGAUACCCAACAGUAAGAUUUGUGAUGUCUACUGAGAAUGGGUCAUCAAGGGAAAUGUCUUUUGAGGAGGGAUCAUCUGGAUCCUUUCCUAGAAUAGCAUCCAGAAUAAUUGUGCAAUCUGCAGCACUUCGACAGAAUGGUCCAAUCUUAUCCUGAACAUAUAUAUAUAUAUACAUCUUUAGGUUCCAGAACAAAAUGAGGGAACAAAUGCAGCACAUAAAGUGAAGAUGAUUAUGGUGAUACCAAGCUUUCCGAUAUGCUCAUUACACCGGUUCGACCAACAGCACCAAAAGUUGGGCGUAAUGCAGUCACACCACAACGUGCAGCAGGGUAGGUUAUGGAGCCACAAGUUUCUGAGCCAAUUGCAAAAGGAACCAUGCCUGUGAUGGAAAACAAUUUCUUAGUUGGUGCUUUUGUCAGGGGAGGACUCAAACAUAAAAAGGAACAAGAAAUCAAGCUAGAAAAUCAAAUGGGCAGAAAUUAAAGUUUAGAAUAGCUCAAGCACUAAAUUAAGGAUACCUGCUGAGGUGGAAGCAGCAGGUCCAGAGGAUGAACCAGUAGAGUAUUCCUCAAUAUUCCAUGGGUUCCUCGUCCUACCUCCAAACCAGAUGUCAUCAUAUGCCAGUGAUCCAGUAGCAAGCUUUGCAACAAGAACAGCCCCAGCAGACUUCAACCUGUACCAAUCAGAGUCACAAAUUAAAUGGUCUGAACAUGACUGAAGAUUUGUUAUCGGGUUUCUCCUUUUUGUUUAAAAAGAUAUAUUGUCUUUCUGCAUGCUCCCUUUCCUUUUAUUAAGAUUCAUAUUCGGAAAAAGGAAAGAAAGUAAAGAAAGAAGAAAUAAUACUUCUUGUAAACCGAAGCUUCAAUGUCAAGAACUUGAUCUUUGAAAGUUUUUGAACCCCAAGUAGUCUUGUAUUGGGGUACCGAAAUUAUAUCCUUCAACCCAUAUGGAAUCCCAUGAAGGGGACCUGUAACACAACUCAAUAUUACAUUCUGGAAUCAAGGUAUUUAUUGUACCAUAUAUUAACUUCAAAUCUUCGGCUCUUACUUUAAGAUUAUGAUGAUGAGAAGAAAUAGAUGAAGGAGGUACCCAAAUAUAUUCCUCGAGCAAGCAUUUCAUCAGCCUCUUUUGCCUGCUUGUAUGCCAAUUCUUCAGUGUAAGUGACCACAGCUUCAAGAACAAGAUUAUACCUAGUGGUUCCCCAAUGCAUAUAAGAAAGAUGACUGGAACAGACACAUAGGAAACUUUCUUUUUCUGCUUUAUUACCUCUUUAAUCUAUGAAGAAAAAUCUGAGUAAGCUCCUCAGAGGUAAUUUGUUUUGUCUUAAUGAGUUCCCCCAGUUCAAGAACCUGGUGAACAUCAACAAUUUCAUAUACAAAACACUAAAAGAGAAAAGAAAAAAAAAAAAAAAAAAGUGAAUAAAAAAUUUGGUGGUAGGAAAGACUUACAGUCAUGAAGGCAAUAUCUUCUUCACCUUCAGGCCUCUGUAUUCCAGAAAGGGAAGGACAACUGAAUCUUUUGGUUUUGCUUUGUACUUGUUCAUUUCCCCACCCAGGAUUGAAAACCAAAUAAGAUGGAUCAUGUAAACCUCCAUUAACAGAAGCAACUAACUUACGAUUGGCCCUUGAUAUAGGGAUAUUCAGCUCGGUUGCACCCUGCUCAAUCUCGGCUAUCUAAAAGGAAAAAGAAGAUAAGAGUAAUUAUAUAUAUGAGAUGAAACUUGGAUGAUACAAUCCAUAGCUAAUGGAUCAUAAAUAGUCUAAAUUACAAGUUCAUCAAAAUCACCUUAGUAUCAUUGAAGAAGUCAGCAUCAAAUAUUGCAAAUGCACAUUUAACUGGUAAGACUUCAUUAAUCUUUUCCGAGCAUUCACCAUUGCUUUUAGGGCUGUACUCCCCACUGUCCUGAUCAAAGAACAGAAGAACAUUUGCUUGGAGUAAAAAUUAAAGAAACAAUGAAAUAAAAAUGAAAUGGACUAGCUCUUCUUUGUUCUAAUUUUUGUUGGGUAUACAACAUUUCCCACAUUUUCUUAAAAGGGGGGAAAAUGAGAAGGUUGGGAAAUUGGCUUCCUUCUUAAGCAUUUUCCCCUUUUCCCCUAAAACUCUUUGAGGAACAAAGGGGAAAGUAAAUGACCAAUCAAAGCCCCUGCCACUAUCUAAGGUGCUGUUUGGCUAUCAUUUUAUAAGAAAUUUUCUUGCUUUUCGUGGCUAAAAUCAAUGAAAAUGCUAAUUUCCAAAGAAAGAAAAAGUAGUUCCAAACUGCUAACUAUUUCAGAGGAGGACAAGAACCACCUCCUCCUUAUCCCCAAUUCUUGAAGCUAAAUGGUGGUUUUGUAUAAACAUUGGCUGUCGUUUCAUAUUCAUAAUAAUUUCAGUAAACCAGUAUUAUUUAUCAAUUUUUUUUUUGCAUGUAGAGCCUCCAAAUGAUUGUUCACAAGCUCUAAACGUAUAGAAUGAAAUCUGAAAUUUCUAUCACAGCAGGGACGAAACAGACCCACUCUUGGAUGUUUCUGAUACAUUAAUUGAUGGAUGAUAGAAAUGGAGAAAGAGAGAGUAACCAUUAUUGCUCCAGUCCCGGCGAGAAGACGGUUGGAUGAGAUGAGACAGAGGAGGCAAAAAUAAUACAGCAAACGUAUCCGUGCGAGUGAGAGUGAGGUGGGACGAAGGAUGCCCCCCAACAUGGCUGCCGCCUUGCCACACCCUUUACCUCCUCUUCUUCUUCCUCGGAGUUCUGACAGAUACCUGCGGUUUUAUUGCUGGAGAUGCUUUUCCCCAGUUUUUUUACAACCCGCUUUCCCAAGCCCUUGACUCAGGGUUCUUGUUGGACACCUACAGGCUACAGGGUUUUAUAGAGCCUGAAGAAUUAUGAGUAUACAGACCCACUCCUAUUAUACCUUUUUUUUUUCUAUAUUUUUUUGUUAUUUGAUACUUAUUACUGUAGAGUCCAAAUUUUAAUUUUAUAUUAAUUUUAAGUUAAAUUUUAAAUCUCAAUUAUAUGUGUUUUUUUUUUUUCACUCACCUUUUAAUUUUUAAUUUUUAUUAUUUUAUAAAUUAUUUAUUUAUUUUUUUUAAUUUUAAUUUUUUUUAUUCAUUUUAUUUAUUAUUAUUAUUAUAUUAUAUUAUAUUUUUAUAUUUUUUUAUUUUUUUAUUUAUUUUUAUUUUAUUUUUCAUCUCUCCUCUCUCUUCCCUUUUCUCCUCCACCCACGUUCUUCUCUCUCCUCCCACCCUCCUCACCACCCGCCACCACUUCAUUUCAUCCCUUUUAUUUUUUUAUUUUCUUUUCUUUUUUUUCCUCCCACUCUUCUCUCUCUUUCCCCAAAAAAACUCCCUUUCCCUGCUCCCCCCCCCCACCCCCAAUUCCCAAGACUUUUCCCCCCCCUCCAUUCACUCCCACUGGCCAGCACCCCACCCGCGGAUCUUCCCAUUUUUCAUUUUCUCUGCUCCCCCCGAACUCCCACACGCCGGCCCCCAUGUUUCUUUUCUUUCCUUCUCCAUCUUCUUCCUCCUUCACAGCACUCCACCACACCGCCGUUCCAGCAGCACGACCCCAACGCCCACUCCCGUCNNNNNNNNNNNNNNNNNNNNNNNNNNNNNNNNNNNNNNNNNNNNNNNNNNNNNNNNNNNNNNNNNNNNNNNNNNNNNNNNNNNNNNNNNNNNNNNNNNNNUCUUCUUCCUCCUUCCAGCACUCCCCCACACCGCCCUUCCUUCUUCACGACCCCAACGCCCACUCCCGUCCCGAUGCCUUUUCCAGCGUACCUCCAUUUUAAUUUUUAUUUAGUUUUAUUUUGCUUCCCAAAAACCCAUCCACCCCCUCUGCCGCUGGUAGGGCCAUCGACCAAUCGCCGCUGACGAGCCACUACUGGCCGAUGACCCCCUCCCCAUCUCAUCCGUUUGUUAUUAUUAUUAUUAUUAUUGUUAUUGUUGUUAUUAUUAUUAUUGUUGUUAUUUUAUUUUAAUAGUAAUUGUUGUUUGUGAAAUUUGGAUUGUUGAAUUAAAAUGAAAUUUGAGGUUAAUUUGUUGUUAGUAGAUUAAUACGUAAUUUGAUUUAAUUUAUUGUUAGUGAAUUAAUUUGAAAUUUGUUAAUUUGGGUUUAUGGGCAUAUUGUAUUUGGUGAUUAAUUUGAGGAUAUUGAAUUAUAUCAAUUUCAUAUUGUUUAUUUGGACUUGGGUCUAUUGUUAAGUUGUUAUUUGUUUGGGCUUAUUGGAUUAGGCUUGAAAUAUUAUUUCUCUUGACCAUGUAUUUUUUUAUGUGGGCUCGUUAAUUGAUGUGAAUUUUGGGGCCCAUAAUGUAGGUGAGAUUUGUUGGAUUAUUUUAAUAUUUGAUAUGGGCUUGACCAAUUUGAAUUGUUUAAUUUGGACAUGGGACAAUUGUGGUGUAUAUUAAACUAGACUUAGAUUAUAAAAUAUUAAAUUUAGGUCUAAUAGAAUUUAUUUUAAUUUGUCUAAUUUUAGGUUUGGUUGAUUGUGUUUGUAUUUUUUGUCAUUAAUUUGGAUGUUCUAGGUUAAGACCUAUAGUAAUUUGGGCUCAUUUUAAUUAACGAAAUUUAUGAGACUAAUUUGAAAUUGGAAUUUGGGUUUGAAUAUUUGUUUGAGAUUUUAUGCAUCUCUAGAUAUUUAUAUUUGUGUUAUUUUUGUUUUUGUAUGUGGACCCAUUCUGCAACCUUGUUGGCUGAGUACGAAUUAAUGACACGUGAAGCUUGUUGUAAGUUUAUUUGGGUACAUAUUUUAUUUCCCACUUUUGUUUUGUUUUAUUUUAAUUAGUUCUUUUAAAUAUUUGUGUGUAUAUAUUUAUUGAAUGUGUAUAUAAUUAAACAUCGAACAAAUUAGAAAUUUUGUUUAAAUGAGGAAGAAUUCAGUGAAUAUGUUAUAAUAAAAUACUAAUUUUAAAAUAUUCUUUUUAAUAAAAGAAUUUUUUUAUUAUUUAUUAUUUAUUAUUUAUAAAAAUUCAGAAAAAUGCAUUAAGAAAAAUCCAAAAAAAUUGUUUUUAAUAAAAUUUGAAAAAUUGUUUUUAAUGACAUUGUUUAAAAAUUUCUUUGUUUAAUAAAAAUUGUCCAAAAAUUGUUUUGUAAAUAAAGUUGUUCCAAAAAUUAAUUUGUAGUAAAAUUGUCUAAAAAUAUUUUUUUCAAAUAAAUUCUUUUUCCUUAAUUAAAAUGGGAUUAAAAAUAUUUUUCAGAAAUAGAGAAUUUAAAUCUUUAUUUUUCUUUUUAAUUAAAAUUUCUUUUGCAAAUAAAGUUAUGACAUUUUAAAUAAUUUAUAAAAAUCAUUUUUUUAAAUGAAAAUGAAUCUAAAUACUUUUGUAAAUAAAAUUGUAAAAAUUUAUUAUUUUCUAGUAAAAGCAAGUAAAAAUAAUUUGUGUCCCCAAAUUGAAAUUUUGUAAUAAAUUCUUUUGAUACAAUAAGUGUAAAUAGCUUUUUUGAAAAUUGAAUACAAUUGAAAUUGAGAAAAUAAAUUGAUUUUUUUUAUAAGUAAAUAAAUGGAAAUCAUUAAUUCAAAAUCAUUUUUAAUAAAAUCCUUUAAAAUUUCUUUAAAACUUUUUUUAAUAUAUUUUAUUUAUUUAAUUCAAUAAAUCAUUUCGCAUGAUCCUCUUAUUAUUUAUUGUGUAUUUUUGUAAUUAGAUUUCAUCAUUGUUUUUGUGCAUAUUAAUUUUUAUCAUGACUUGUAUAUUGAUUACUUUUCUUGGUAUGUAUAAUUAAUUGCCACAAUUUACUCAAUUCGUUUAAUAGAGGCCGUACGUAUACGGGCUUAGAAGGGUGCUACGGCUCACCACCGUACCUUCCCAAUGAGUAACUUGACCCCUGGACCUAGACUCAGUUUUUCAUAGACCCGUUUUUUUCUUCAGGAGUCACACUUAGGGUUUUUCUUUCUUAUUUUAUUUUCCCUUUAAAAAUAAAACAAAAAUAAGUGGCGACUCCAAGUCUUUUUCUAAAAAUCAAAAUUUCACCAAACAAAAUAAAAAAUCGAGCUCACCAAUGAGUGGGAAAGCAUCGAGCAAAAUGCGGGGUCCACAAUUACUCUUUUUUCAAAAAUAAAAAAUAAAAAAUAAUUUAGCCCUGUAUAAUCCACUGCUUUUUUUUAGAUCAUGAAAUAAUAAAAACUCUUUAAAGUUUAUUAUGAAAAAAUUAUUUAAAAAUUUUGAAAUACUGCAAAAAUUUUAUUACCUCAAAAUUUUAAAAUAAAUUUUAAAAACAUAAGUUUUAUCUAUGUUUUUUGGAUAUAUCUAAAGAUUUUAAAUUUUAAAAGCCUAAAUAAAUUUAGAAGGUAUUUAGUAAAACUUAAUAUUUAUUACUUGAUGAUUUAAGUUGACUUUAAGUUAAAUCAUAACUAAGUUAUUAACUUAAAACUUGUAUUUAAUUUUUACUUUAAGCAUUAAGUUUGUUUGAUAAAAUUAAUUUUAAAUUAUCAAAUUGACAUAUUUAUCCUUAUAAGUUAUAACUAUAGUAAAAAUGAUCAAGUGAUAAUGGAGGUUGUGGACUAACAAAAAUAAAAAAAAUUAAAGCAAUUAAGGCAAAUGAGGGUAAAGAAGUAAAAAUGAAAAUAUGAACGAAAAAAUAAGUUAAUUGUUUUUACUUAUUAUUUAAAGUUGUUUUUUACUUUAAUUCAUACCGUUAAAUUAUUUUACCAAACAAACUUAAUUUACUUAUUAACUUAAAUUAAGUUAUCAAGUCCCUUUAAGUCAUUAAAUUGGUUUAGCAAACACCCACUUAUUUAUUUACUUAUUCUACUAUUUCUAUAUUUAUCUAAAUUUUCUAUUUUUUCUAGAAUAUAUAUUAUUCCUUUUUUGAUAUAAAAUAUUUAAAUAGCUCUAUCACUAAACUUUUUUUCUAUAUUUCUUUUUUUUCAUACAUUUUUAUAUAAAAAAAACUAAAUAAUUUAUUUACUACAAAUUCAUGUUAUGUUCCUUCCAUUCUUUUUCCUUAUUUCUUUAUUCUUUAAUAUAUAUAUUAUUCUUUUUUUUUUAUAUAAAAAUUUAAAUAAUUUAUUUAUUAAAAUUUCCUAUUUUCCCCAUAUUUCUUUGUUCUUUAAUAUAUAUUUCCAUAAUUUUUUAUAAAAAUAUAUAUAAAUAAUUUAAUUACUAAAAAUCCCUAAUAAUUUUCAUGCAUCUUUCACAUUUAUUUAUUCUUUAAUAUAUUUACAUUGUUAUUAGCCCCCUGAUUUUUCUACACCAUCCGUUUUGUAUAAGAAUAUUGAGAAAUAUUGGUUAUAAGGAGUGAGGAGUUACAACUCGUUUGACUCAUUGUUUUAUUAUGUUUGUUUUCAAAUAUUGUGUUUAAAUUAAAGAACAAAAAACCAUUUUUUAAAAAAAAAUAAUUUUAUAAAAGCAAGGGUGUUUGGGCAGUUAUUUUUAAAACCAAUUUUUAAAAAUAAUUUUUCUAUUUUCAUUUUGUAAAAGUAUUAUAAAUUAUAUAUAUAUGUUACAAACAAAUUUAAAAAAUAAAUAGUUUUUAGUAAAACAUGAAUAUCAAUAUUAUAAUAAAAUCAAAAAUGAUAUUUUUUAUAAAAAAAAUUAUUUUAAUAUAUGGUUAUUUACAUCUUCGCAAAAGCACAACUAAUUUUGUUUUUGUUUUCUAAAGAAAAGAACAAUAAUAAUAAUUUAAAAAUAAUAAUAAUUAAUAAUAUUUUAUUUAAAAUGAAAUCGCAGAUAAAUUUGAAUUUUUUAACAUGUAAAUGAGUUAAAUUUUUCAUUACAUGAUGCAUUUAGUACUCAAUUAAGAAUGCUUCAAUUUAAUAUGCAAUUAAUUGGAUUAGUUUUUUAAAUUUCAUAUUAUUUUUAAAAAUUAAAAUAUUUUUUCCUUAAAAAUUUUAAAUUAUUAAUUAUAUCUUGCUUAAUUUAGAAUAUAUUUACCCAAUGAGAAAAUUAAGAAAAUAUAGUUGUGUAGAUAAGAGAAACAAUAAGAAAAUUACAAAAAUAUAAUUAUAUGGAAGAAAAAUAUUAUGAACAGAUUUUUAUUCAUAAUUUUUUUUUUGUAUUAAUGAGUUUACUAUUUGAAUUUCAAAUUAUUUUUAAAAAUUACUUAACUCAUUAACAAAUCCAAUGCAUCAAAUCUUUUUAUUUAUCUAGUAAUAUCUAUAUAUAUAUAUUAAUACAUAGUUUUUUGUAUAAGAAAAAAAAUAGAGUUAUUAUAGACCAAUUUUUAUCUAUAAAUACAUAGUAUUAAUUGGAUAAUUAUUUGAAAAUCAAAUUAUUUUUAGAAAUUACUAGACUUGUUAAUGAAUCCAGCACAUUAUAUCAUAUUUAAUUUAAAUUUAUUUGCCUAGUGAAAAAAAAAUGAUUUUAUCUACAAGAGAAACAAUAGGGUCAUUCAAAAUCAACAAUGUCAUUUGCUUUUUGUGAUUUUUUCAAUUUCUCUACAUUUUCCUUUUAUUUAUAAAAUCUAGUAAAAAUAACUUAUACUUGUUCUUUAAAAACUAUUUUUUAUAUCACUUUGUUUUUAAAAACUUGAAACAAAGAACGACUUAACAGUCUUAUGAAUUUUUAAAAAUGGAUUUUUGUUUUUAAAAAUAGAAAAUUGUUUUUUAAUCACACACCCAAACCGACUCUAAGAGUCUAUUUUGAAACUUUUUCGAAAAUUGUUCUCAAAAAAUAAUUCUAAGAUGUUUUUUUAGAAUAAAAGUCCGGACCUGCAUUUUUCAUGCACGUUCCUAAUUAACGACGAGACUCGUUUUUUAUUUAUUUGGUGAAAAAUAUAAUUUUUAGAAAAGGCUUGGAGUCACCACUUAUUUUUGUUUUAUUUUUAAGGGAAAACAAAAUAAGAAAGAAAAUCCUAAGUGUGACUCCUUAUUUGGAAAAGACAGUCUGUGGAAAACCAAAGUCGAGUCUAGGGGUUAGGUUACCUAUUGGGAAGAUAUGGUAAAUGACCGUAGCACCCUUCUAAGUCCCUAAAAACGAGUCUCUACUAAAUAAGGUGAAGCACGUGUGGAAAUUGAUAAGGAAAUCAAUGGAUACUAAUGAAAUGAUCAAAUAAUAAAACGAAUAAUGCAUGAGAAUAAGUAAAGUGGAAGUGAGAUUGUACCUUAGUAGCAAGUAAUAGUGCGUUAUCAUGAAACGAGAUUAGUGCACAAUAAUGAAAACAAAAUAUAUCGCAUGUGUCACAAAACAGAGUAAGAAAUCCUCAAUGGCAGUUAUGCACUUCACUCAAAUCAUUUUUACAGAAAAUAUCAUGGAUGUUAGGUCCCCACCAAAGCCCAAUUGAUUUUGUAUGAAUUAAUCCCACAAAUUCCAUUAUUUUGGAAUGAUGAAAAAUUCAUUCAUACUUAUUAAAAAUUGAGAAAAUUGAAAAAAAAAAUUUUAAAUUAAAGAAAAUUUGUGAAAAUGCAUGCCUAGAGAGAAAAUGGCAAGUUUAUUAAAAACAAGAUUUUUUUUAUGACUCUAAACCCUAAGGAAGGAAGAAGAAAAGAAAUGACUUAAAAUUAUUUGAAAAUCAGAGUGAAAUUAAAAUUAUUUGAAAAUCUAGAGUUUUGAAAAUUGAAGUUCUAAAAAUUAAAUUUGAAAAUUGGAGUUUUGAAAAUUAUUUGAAAAUUGGAUUUUUGAAAAUUAAAUUUCUAUACCAAACGAUAAAAAAACAAAGAGGAUGACGCAUCGCCUUUAGGUGGUGCACUAAAGGGUGGCCAUGUAUGGCGAUACAAGAGUGGGACCUGAGGUGUAAGGUGGCUGCUCUAUGGAUGCUGGUGGUUUCAACUUGGAGCAAGUAGCUUGUUUGCUGACCUUCUGCUGGCUUGUGUAUACCUUCAUGGGUUGGUCGAAAUAGAAACUUCACUCUUAAAUCUGUGUUGUUCUUGAACAUUGCUAUUGGGACAUCAUCCACCAAGAAUACUAUCAGAUAUAUAUUUCAUAGAACUGAGUACGAGUGGAAAGCCUUGGUUGGGCCAAACCAAAGAUAGAUUCUCUGUUCUCUUUCUAAUUUUCUUCCGGUGAAGAUAUUUGUUGUAAAAUGGAGGGUUGGUCGGACUUGUUCCCAGAGAACUCAAAGUCUAUUUCAUCAUGUCUGAGUUUUGAGAAGAUAGAUAGAAAACAGUAAUAGUCCCUGUGCAUUUGUCAAGGACGAGCUGAAUCUCAAAGCCUCCAUUAUAGGACUUGAUGUGAUCAAAAACCCAUGUAAGCACAUAGUUUCUACUAAAUGGCACAUCGAUGCACUUUCUUGGAGCAGCACCCUUCACUCCAGAAAGCAUAAACAGUAAACCCAGAGAGCGAACCCACAAGUUUUUUUGGUUUCGAGAAGGAGAGACUGAGGAAGUGUGGUGAGUAAGGUAAUGAGGUUCCGAAACGAAGUUUUCUGACUUGAGGUUUAGAUUUGCUGAAAGAAGGAUUGUGAUGGAGGCUUUUCCAAGGCUUUGGGUGGCCAUACAUGCAUGGGUCACAUGCACAUGGGAAUGGAUGGAAAUGAGCUUUCUCAAUAUUUGAAUUGAUUCCCCGUACUCAUUUUUGACUUAGGCACCAUUCCAUCAAACAGAAGAACUUCAUCUGGAAAGAGGUGCUUGAAAGUGGCACACCAAAAGGUGGCCAUAAAAGCCAUGCAAAAGCCAAAAACAGAGGAAUGGAAUGCCCGAGACUAUGCAUCGAAGGUGGCCUUUCCUUGUUGGUAGCCAAUGUUCAUAAACUUGUGAGGAACUCUUCCAUAGAAAACCCACUUGCUAAGCUCAAUAAAAAAAAAUUGCCCACUGCUGAAUCUCUUUCUUGUAUCAUUCUACUCCCAAAUUAUUGACGCGAUCACUUGGUAUUCAUGAUGAUUUCUGCUAACCUAUGUAAUAUGUAUUCCAUUAGAGCCUAUUCUUAUAGUCUAUUAAUCUCACGUGAUGGCUUUAACCACCCAGAGUUUGACUGAGUGAACCAUGUCCAACAAAUUGAUUCAACAGCCUCAUGGCCAUAGAAACAUGUAGAGAUGGAAAAGAGGGCAUCCAAUACCCAUGGGUAUUUCCACUUAGGGGGUGUUUGGUACGUCGGAAUAAGGAAUGGAAAUAAUAUUUUGUUUCCUUUCAUAUUUCUUAGUGGAAUGGAAUGAAUUUGAUGAUUCCAUUUCUAGCAUUUGGAUGAACUUAGGAAUGCAAGAUUGGAAUGAUUAUUGGUUUCCAUUCCAAUGUUUGAUAAUAAUAGGAAUGGAAAUGAAAAAGAAAUAAAUUUACAAUAAUAUCCUUACAUAUAAUUUAAAAUAUUUUUUUAUUUUUACUUUUAUUUAAAAAAAUAAAAUUUGAGAGGUUUUUUGUUAUUAAAUAAUAAGACUAAAAAAAUAUAUAUAUACUCAAUAAAUAAAAAAUUAACCAUAAAAAAUUGUAUAACCCUAAUGCACAAAUAUUCAAUUAUUAUUUUUAUUAAAAAUUUGAAUAAUUUGUCAUGCUUAAGUAGUUAUAAAAUUAUAUUUUUCAAAAAAAAAUUAUUUAUUAUAAUAUUUAAAUUCUCAAAGCUAGCAAAUGUUUUUCCUAUUUUCAAAAGAGGAAAUAAAAGAAUUCAAAUUUAUUCUAAUUUUCAACAAGUAUCAUAUCCGAUAAAAUCCAUAACCUUAAAAAAUUUUAAAUAUUCGUUUUUUUAAUCAAAAUUUUAAAUAAUUUGUCAUGCAAAAAAAGCUAUAGAAUUAUAUUUUACUAAGAAAAAAAAAGUGAAAAAAAAUAUAAGAACAUAUAAAUUGUCAAAGCUACCAAAUACCUAUUUCUUAUUUGCAAAAAAGGAAAUAAAAAACACAAACUUCAUUCUAGUUCUCAAAGAUAAAGAAACAUCAAAGAUUCCAAACAUAAAUUAAUAAAAAAAAAAAUUAAUCGAUUUAUAGAGAAAAAGAAACACAUAUAAAGAAGUAGAAGAAGAAAGAGAAAAUAAGGUAAACCUGAUCGAAGAUGUAGAAGGGAGUUUUCAGAACCUAGUUGCAGCAAACAAUGACGAAUCCUAGAUCCAACAAUCAAAAUGAACAUCCAAAACCCUAUAAAUUAGAAAUUGAUUUUUUUUUUUUUAAAUAUCGUGGAAGGUUUAAUUGAUUCAAUUUGGAAGAAUCACUUGUUGCAGAGAAUUGGAUGAUGAGUGGGUCUCUAGCUUUGCAAAGAAGAUAAGAAGUGGAUGAUGAAUGGAUCUCUACCUUUGCAAAGAAGAUAAACAUCAGGUUUGAAGAACAAGAUAAGAGGGUAAAAUAGUAAUUUAGGUUAUUUUAUAUUAUCAAAUAGGUUUAAUGAAUCAGAAUACCACCUACUUUUAAUGAAUGCAAAUCCAACUCAUAAGUUGGAUUUGAUUUCUGCCGGAAUAAUUUUUUAUUUCAUUUUCGCCUUCUUAACAUUUAUCCAAACAUAGGAAUAAGGGAGAAAAGGAAUGAGACGUCUAUUCCCACUCCCUAUUCCCGUGUACCAAACACCCCCUUAUUGUUUUAGUAGGUCAUGAGCGUAGAUAUAGUGCUUCAGAGUAAAAGGGUACAACAGAGUGAUACAGUUGCUAAUUUUCAUGUAAAUCACAAGAUGAUGGAGACUUCCAAUUGCAAAUUCUCGAAGGAAAAAAAAUCAGAUCCCCAUAGUGCCUACUGUUCCUUUAAUGCUUUUGAAGAUGGGUUAUUGAAAGUCUUGAAUGCACCUUCUACUGUUGUCGUUGGUGCGUUACUGAACAACGAAUGGCAUGGGAUUCAUGAAGUCGGGCUUGGAGCUUCAUGUGAUUGGAAAUUUUUCAAGAAAUCACCACCAAGAGACAUAGAGUGAUGAAGCUCAAUGGAUUGACUCACUAGUCGUCCAACCAACCAAUUAACAUCAUUGUCUAAUCCUAUAGAUCUACAAUCGGGAAAUUGGGAGUGAGAUAUUCAGGUUUAAUAACUGGAUUGUAUCAUGCUCAUCAGUUCUCUUCAUCUCAAAAAUCACCUUGGGCAUUUUUUUGCAAGUGGAUAAAUUGGGUUGUAGCUACUUGCAAUCCCAGCUAGUGUUUUUGAUCUAGUUAUUGAUGAGAUAGUUGAUUGCCCAAAUGAGAACACGAUUUGCACAGCAGGCACGAAGGAUGCUAUAGCCUCACUCCUCCAAUCCCAGUAGCUUGGCCAUUGAUGAUAUCAUCCCACCAUCAACAAGAAACAGAUCAUGAAAUAGAGAGGAAGAAAAAAAAUGUAAAAACAGAGUAAGAACUUAACUCUAUGUAAUGGACUAUCAAAGAGCUAGGAGUACAUGGAAUCCAAAGAAAACAAGAGCAUCAUUUUAACAUCUCAAAUUCAAGGAGUAGUGCAUUAGAUAUUUACAAGAGAAAAUAGAAAAAAAUCCUCAAAAUAAACCAAAACAGAGCACGCAUGUAUAGAGUCCUACUCUACAAAGCAAAUGAGUGGCCCUUAAUGUCCACACCAAUCAACAAAGCAAUGCUCAUAAAAGUGGCUAAAAAUGGGAAUGAAACAGUGAGAAAAUAAGAGACAAGAAGCUCGUAUUGGCUUUAUCUGGAAUGCUCACUCAUAAACCCCCGAGUUGUCUCAGUUCCAGCUCCCUUUUUCCCUUCCUGAAUUCGUCGGAUCACUUUCUCCUUCUUCUGGUCUUCACUCCAUCCUUUUUAUUCAGCCCUCUUAACAACCAGCACACCCCUCUAUUCUUGUUUCUCGUCCAAGCCUCCACCAGCUCUACUGUUUCCCGUUCAGAGACAUCUCCUUCCUAACCACCACCAUGUCGAGGUAGCAAUGUCCUUGGUCACGCGUCCCAUUCAGUUUGCUCACCUAUGAAAGUCGUCCCCCACUCCUCUCUAUAGUGAUGGUGUUUCACCAUUCUGCCCUCUCUCCCCAAAAGACCAAUCUCUCCCGGGGUGGUAAGAAGGUGGUGAGGAAAAAAGAAAAAAAAACCAAAUAAAACAAAAAUACCUCUCCUCGCCCCCCUCCCUCCCUCCCCACUAAUAAUAGUGAUAAAAAAUGUCAACUGGUCCAAAAGAGGGGUAUACAAAUAUGCUCCUCUUUGGUAGAGCUCACGAGUGUAAGAAAUGUGAACAUCGAAAUGAAAUGAGAGUGUGAAUAAUGAGUGUAACGAAAUGAACUCUACUGAAGAAAAAAAAACCCUAAAGGUACACAAGUAGAACACAAACUCGCUUAAGCCAACAAAAGAACAAAAGAGGCUUUAAAACCUUACAAAAACGAGUAAGAAUGGAUUAAGCAAGAAAAAAAGAAACUCCUAAAGUGCCUCUAAAGUUACACUAUGGAUCUAGAACUCCCUCUGAAAAGUCUCCAAAAAUGACUCGAAAAUCGAUGUCGAAGUCAAGUAGCAGUUGAACCACCAAGGAAUACAAGAACGAAAAUGUACAAAGGAAAAAACCAUACGUGUACCAUACAAGGACACAAGGCAUAAGGUAUCCAACAAUAUGAUAGGAAUACACGAUAUGAGCUCAAAGCUUUAUGUUGCAUGCAUGACAGAGAGGAAAGUCUAUGGGUGAUGCUCUAUGAUGAAGAAUUGAGAAACACAUAUUCAACGAAGUGAGAAGUAUGGUGAAAUGUGAAGCUAUGAGAAUAGGGCGUGCAAUGCUAGUGAUUAAGAAUGUUGGGAGUUGUAACUUUGAAUGACAAGGUUGACUAUAAAUGCUAAACUAAGAAAAGUAUGGCUUUAGAAGCCAAACCAAAAAGCUAAAUCAGAAGGCCUAAAGGUGAAGUCUUACGAUGGUGAUACAACUGAAAUGCCCAUAGAUGUCAAUCUAUGGUGGUGAAACUCUCAAAGGCCCACAGAUAAAAAUCUAUGGUGGUGAUAAUCUCAAAGGCCCAAGGAUGAAAAUCCAUGGUGGUGAAUCAACUGAAAUGCCCAUAGAUGCCAAUCUAUGGUGGUGAAACUCUCAAAGGCCCACAAAUAAAAAUUUAUGGUGGUGAUAAUCUAAAAGGCCCAAGGAUGAAAAUAUAUGGUGGUGAAUCAACUGAAAUGCUCAUAGAUGUAUGAUCUAUGGUGGUGAAAAUUGAUCAAGGCCCAUAGAUGAUAAUCUAUGGUGGUGAAUCUGAAAUGCCUAUAGAUGUCUGAUCUAUGGUGGUAAAAACUUAUCAAGGACCAUAGAUGAUAAUCUAUGGUGGUGAAACUAAAAUGCCCAUAGAUGUUUGAUCUAUGGUGGUGAGAAUCACUGAAAUGCCCAUGGAUGUCCAAUCCAUGAUGGUAAGAUAACCGAAACAAAUCCUCAUAGAUGAAAAUCUAUGAUGGUGAGAUAACUAUAACAAAUGCCCAUAGAUACACAAUUUAUGGUGGUGAAUCUGAAAUGUCCAUAAAUGUCUGAUCUAUAGUGGUGAAUCUGAAAUGACUAUAGAUGUCUGAUCUAUGGUGGUGAAAGUUGAUUGAGGCCCAUAAAUGAUAAUCUAUGGUGGUGAAUCUGAAAUGCCUAAAAAUGUCUGAUCUAUGAUGGUGAGAAUCACUAAAAUGCCCAUGGAUGUCCAAUCCAUGGUGGUAAGAUAAUUGACAUGCCUAUGAAUAUCUAAUCAAUAGUGGUGAGAUAAUUGAAUAAAAAUGGAUGCCCUAGACAAACUGAUGAUAGGGGGAUGCCCUAAACAAACUGAAAAAAGAAAAAAGAAAAAAAGGAGUGUCUUAAACAAACUGAUGGUAGGGGAAUGCCCCAGACAAGCUGACAGUAGGGGAAUGCCCUAAAAAAAUUGAAGAAAAUGGGAAAUGACUUAAACAAACUAGAAGAACUGGGGAUGCCCCAAACAAAUUAACGGUAGGGGGAUGCCCUAAACUGACGAAAAGAGGAUGCCCUAAACAAACUAAUGGAAAAUGGACGUCCUAAACAAAUUAAAAGUAAAGGGAUGCCCUAGAUGAUAACUCAUAAAAAUCAACAAAUGGGUCUAACAACCAUGAAAUUAGCAUGAGAUGUGAUAAGCUCAAAGAAGGGGGUAUGCCCCAAUAGAAGAGCGCUAAAGGGGGUACGCCCCAGUAUGACGACUCACAAAAAUUAGGAAAUAGAUCAAGUAGUGAUGAGGUUUGUAAUAGACCCGAUGAACUUAAAGAUGGGGGUAUGCCCUAGUGUAAGAUGGUGACCAACAUAAGACAUAAAAUGUCACCAUACAAGACACUCUAGGAUAUGCUCAAUGACAAUGUAAUGAAAAAGUCUAACACCAAAAAAAUAAAUGCUUAGAUAAGACCAUACAUCACAGAAACCAUGCUAACAAAGCAAAACUAAAAUAAUGGACCAGACAAAUGCUGACCAAGACUCAAAGUUUGAAAUGUAAGCAAAGCAAGACACAACAUAUCAACUAUCAAUAUGAAAACAUCAUCACAAAUACAUCAACAAUCUAAUAGGCCAUGCCAUCAUGGAAGAAGUUGAACCUAAUGUAUAAAGGCAUGUGAAAACUCGACCAGAAAACUCAAGACUAGUCUGCAUCCUCUCCUGAUCAAGAGAAGGGGAUAAAGUCAUGUAGGAUGAUGAAAUAGGUGGGUUUAAAAGAAAUAUGUAAGGUUCUGACAAGAUAGAUGCAGGUAAUGGUAUCAAAGGUAGGAUGUUUAGAUGUCCAACAAAGGUAAGUGGGUAGUCAAAUCAAACUAGGUGAGCUAAGAAGAUUGAUCCCAAAAAUAUCAUCAUCUCUAUAAUCCAUCGAAAGCAGUAAUCAUAAACAGAUGGUCAAUUCUCAAUGUCAAAAUCAGUAAGGUGGUUAUGCCCCAGUAUGAAUGCAUCGUCUUAAAAUGGGUAAGCCUUAAGUGUAAGAUAAUCUCUGGGAAGUAUGGUCUGGCAUAAACUGUCAUCUCACAAAAUCCAUCACCAAUGAGUGGGCUAUGCCUCGGUGUAAGCAUCUCCAAAGCAAACGUCGAUGAGAAAAGUACAACCAAUCAUACAUCAUUUGAUCAAAAUGAAUCUCCACUCCUCAAAGUCAUCGUGGUAACGUGAAGAGAGUAUUUAACCUCACCUAAAGAAAUAUCAUGUCCCAAUGUGAAAAAGAUCAAGCAAAGUGGUAUGCCUCAACAAAAAUGCACUCUGAGAUGAUCAUGCCCAAAUGUAAGCUGGUAUCUCUAAGAUCAAUUGCCAAUGAAAGGGUUAUGCCCCAGUAUAGGGCAAUCUUUGAAAUGACUAAACUCCGCUGCAAGCUCUCACAAGUGUUUGUAUCCUGAUCCAAUCUUCUCAAAAAUCUGUUAAUAACAAUAAAAGGGCUAUGCUCUCGUAUAAACACAUCCAAUCAAAUCACCUAGUCAUAUCUCAUACUCCAAUGUGAAAGGAAUCUAAUCACCUCCAAGGAACAACUAUGCCUCAAAAACCAUCAUCAACUGAGAAAUAUGCCCCUGUGUAAAGUAGACUAGAUGGAAUAUACCAAUCAUGUCUCAUGCUCCAAUGAGAAAAAAGACGUCUGAUCUCCUCCAAGGGAUGGCCAUGACUCAAAAUCCAUCAUCGACUGAGAGAAGUAUGCCCUGACAUAAUGGUCAUCUAAAAAAAUCAACCCCCGACCAAGGAAGGUGUGCCCCAAUGAGAUGUAUCAAGCAAAAUGGUUGCAUAUCCGAUAAAAAUUAUCUGAGGUGGCUAUGCCUCAGUGUAGGGUCAUACCACAACUCCUGGUCCAUCACAAUCAAAGUGCUCUCCGACAAUUCCCAAAUAUCGCCCAUGUGAUAGUUAUAAAAAACACAACGUGUGAUAUCAUGGCCUCAAGGUAGUCUUAAGACCCAAGACCUAACGUAGGUUAGGGUAAUAGGGUUAAGAAAUGAAGGAAAACUAGGCUUAAAUACCCAAUAAUUAGAUCCCAUGCCCUCGUGUAUAAAAUGCAAUAUGUAUAGAAAAUCUUAUAAGUCAUGGACCUAAAUCUGUUCAAUAUGAAUAUAUCAGUGAGGAAAAAAAAGAGUCUAAGAUGAAUAUAUCAAUAAAGAAAUAGAAGAAAUGAAGAAUAUUGAACUACUGAUAAGAUGUAUAAGAAUGAUGUGUGGAAAAUAUCGAACAUGAAAUGUAAAUUGAUAUGAAAAAAUAACAAUGUAGGCAAGGUGAAUGAAAUACCAUGAGAGAAACAAAUAGAUCAAAAGAAAAUGAAUGAGCAUUGAUAUGCUCAAAUCAAGAUAUGAUAAACAGUCAAAUCAUCAAUGUAUGGACUGAUGGAUGAGACAAUGAUCCGGAGUCCCUAGGAAAAGGAGUCCCUAGGAAAAGGUCACUUGUCUCUCACACAUAAAAUACAUAACGAGAUAGACGCAAGAAUAUGAAAACCUCUUGAAAGUUCACAUACAAACUUUCAUAAGCAACUAACUCAAUAAAGCAGCCUUAAUGACCAAUAUAUACACUCAAUGGAGGAUGGCACCGUAUACAUACAUACAUACAUGUGCUUAUUAUUAUUAUUUUUUAUACUUGCACAUACUUUAAAUAUCAACAAACGAGCUCCAUUGAGAAUACAUAAUGAAAUGGAUAUACUCUUAAACAAUGAUGUACGUGAACUCUCUCUAACAAGAUGACCUUUUCAACUAAGGAUCUCUGAACCAAUGUCCAUGAAAUAAGAAUGGAAGGGGACAUGACCGUCUUCCAUGCACUGAAAUGUGAAAGAUCAUCACUCAUGGCAUAGAAAGAAACACGAUGACAAAGACAAAGUAUGGAACAAAGGAUAUAAACAAUGAGGUAUGAUGAAAAAUGAUGGUAGGAUAACAAAAUACUAAUACUAAUACUAAUAAUAAUAAUAAUAAUAAUAAUAGUAAUAAUAAUAAUAAUAAUAAUAAUAAUGAUGAGUCAAUAAGUCCAUGGCACAUGAGACUCCUGAAUAAAGCAUAUAUACACCGGAGGGCCCCUAUCCUAGUGUAAAAGGUGAUCAAGGCUAUAAGAAAGAAAAUGCUAUGAUGCUCAUGCAAGGCUCAAAGGGCUAGAAAUGGUCCAAAUGUUAAUAAAUAUAAUAGGAAGUGAGCUAAACAAAAUGAAGGCCACCCAUCCUACGACCACGGUCUCAAACAUCGUUCUCUCAAACCCUUAAAUGAUCGAUACUAAAGAUCGAUGCCCAUCUAAUAUAACCACGUCAACUCUCUAGAAUCGUGCGCUAAACCAUACUCCAAAUGCUCCAUAAUAAUCUCAAAGAUAAUCCUCUCAAAGUAAAGUAAACAAUGAUCUCAUCAGGCACAACUGCUCAUCACAAGCCAACUCUCAUCAUAUCGGAUCAACCUCUAUACUCAUGGUAAAAUAAAUGAAAAUCUUAUCAAGCAAUCAACCAAUCCUCACAUCGUAAGCCACCCAAAGAUCAUAAGUCAUCCUUCGCCAUGCAAGAUCAAUCCUGGGUUCAAACUCCUCACACUCUACCUGGUCAGAUCAAAGAGGAGAUAUACAAAGCUAGAACAGCUAGGAAUGGAAAGGUCAUAUAAUGGUGUCAGGGGUGAUGCUGUGUAAAACUCACAAUGGAUGGAUGUAGGUCAAAGAAAAGUUAAAGUGUGAGAGUGGGUAAGGUACUACUCUGAUCAUAAAAAGAUGGGUCACAAUCUCAAACUCCCUAAGUCAAAUCUCUGGUCCUAGGCUAAUAGGCUCAACAUCAUCAUUGAUAGGUCAGGCCUUAAGACUUUAAGGUGCAAGUGAAUAAAUGCCUCAAGGGAUAAUACAUCAUAUCACAAAACACAAUCAUAUGUUCAUAAAAGAAAAGACAUCCAAUGGAAUAACUGAUGAGUACAUCAUGCAAAAAGAAUGAUAACAAAGACAAUAAUCAAGAAUUGAGUUAUAGUCUCUAAAUGUCAAAAGUAAAACAAGACUAAAAAAUAGUGAUUAGUCCUAACAUGACAUCUCUAACCAUAAAGGGAACAAAACCUGAGUGUCAUCGCACCAAGGUAAGCCAAUCAUGAGUCAAUCACCUAAGUCAAUAAGAUCAGGGACUACUGGUGAAGGGGUGUCUGCAUGCAUGGCUUAAGAUGUGGUAGGAAUAAAAAUUAUAUCAAACUGAGGAUGUCCAAAUGUCCUAGAAUCAACAAUGUCCUAUAUGGCAUGUCGUAGAGCAGUGCAACGGUUAGUGUGAUGCCCUGUAGACUGAUGGUAUGCACAAUAUAGAUCAAGUCGAAACUGUGAAGGCAUAGGAUUUGGAGGUGGCCUAGGAGCCAAAGGGACCAAAAAUCCCAUGGCCUAGAACGUCUAAAAAACUCUGCUCAAGGGUAUGCCUAAGUUUGAAAAGUGUCUCUGAUAUCAUCGACGAGGGUGAAGCCGCUCUUGAGGAACUGUAAUAACCGGAUGGUCUUGAAGUUGGGAUGGAAGUUGUGUCAAUGUAGCCAAUGUAAUGGGUGAGGAAUGCUACUGGAGCACUGAAUGUGGGCGAGGUCAUGGAAGUGAGGCACCCAAAGUAACAGAUGCUGGUGAAGUCAAAUGUGGCAAUGAAGGCAUCACUACUCUUGGAGCUCAUCUCGAUGACGAUGGAUAUAUUCUAACAAAAUAAGCUCAAUCCUUUCAAUCUUCUAUGUCAAAUCCAUCAUCAUCUCAUAAAGAGUAGUAAGAGUAAUUGGUGCGAUCUCGUCUAACUUGGUGAACCACAACUGAAAAAGUCUAAUCUCAAUGUACUCUAUACCAUAACCAUCAUGCCAUUAAUCUUUACUCGGGACCCAGUCACGAUACUCAAAUUGUCAAAGACUCUAAACAAACACAUGCAAGAGACAAAACAAAGCAACACAUAAUGCUACUCAAGAUAACAACAUAUAAAAUGCAUGAUAUGAAACAAUAAUGAAAAGAACAAAAAACAAAAACACAUACUCAAGAAGAAACAAUAUCACUAAGUGAAACGAGAGUACAUCAUGCAAAAUAAUAGGACAAUAAGGUCCACUCUCGAAACACAGAGUACGAACUCGAAUCACUAACUAUAAAACAAAACUUAAAUAUAAAACAAAAGAGAACAAAAACUCAAACGACCAACUAAAAUGUAGUCCCAAAAUACAUCGACAAGGUUUGGAAUAUCAAAGUGUCUUGUGAAUAUCAGUGCCCUUGGUGUCUACAACAUGAUGGUAUAAGCCUGAAGGAGGAGAAACUACAUGUGUGGAAUAGGUUGGAAAGAAAUCAGCAGUCAUAUCUGGACCAAGAUCAGUAUCUAUGGUCGAUACAGGAAAGCUAACAGCACCAUUGUCAAUAAGAUCUUGUAUGGUAUGAGGUAGAGAAACACAAUAAUCAGUAUGGUGGCCUGCCAUAUGGUGAAAUGCACAAAACUAGUGAGCACAAAAAUGCAAAGGCAAAGUACUCGGGGGCAGCCUAAGGGUCAAUGGUACUAAAAAACCAAUAGCUCUAAGUCACUCAAAAACUCUAUCCAAAUACAUCCCCAAAUCAUAAUAAGUUCUUUGAUGUCGCCGAUGGGGACCAAACUGCUCAUGUCGCGGGGUACUAGUCUGUGGACGCUGAAACUGAAAUAAAGGUCGUACUGUGGUAGUAUGAGGAUAGAAGGAUACUGCUCAACCAACUGAGGAUGACGAUGCUAUGAGGAUGGGAAAUCACUCCUAGGUAUCUGAAAUGAUCUAGCAUAGGGAUGAUAACUAGGUCAUCGAUGUUGAAAGCUCGUAGAACAUACACCUCCAUUGCUCUCAAAUGAUCCAAUAACUCUCUUCCCCUUCAUAUUUGGGGAAGAAGUAAUAUCUAACCAUAAUCCUUUAGAUAUGCCUUCAUUUACAUCGAACAAAGCCCGAACCAAUGAUCUGAAAUCCUAGAAAGGGAUCCCCCUCAAACGUUGAGCAAACCUAGGUUGCAAACUCGUAAAAAACAUGCACAUCUGAUCUAUCUCGAUAGGUCGUUCAAUCAUUUUCGUAGCCUUCUCCCUCCAACGAGAGAUAAAAGAAGAAACAGGCUCAUUUGAUUUAUAUCUAAGAGACUCAAGCUUUCUACGUGUAAUGCUCGUAUUAUUACUAAAUGAAUAAUGUCUUAGAAACUCCUAUGCUAAGUCAUCCCAAGUUCUUUGAUGAGAUGACUCUAAUAAAGCAUACCAUCUCUAUGUUGUGUCGCUCAAUGAAAAUGGGAACAAAGUGAGCAACUGUGCCUCAUCUAGACUAAGAGCCCUCAUAACUAUGCUGUAAAGUUUGAGAUGAAUAUAAGGACAUCCAACACCCAUAUAUCUCUUUAUCUCAGGCAUCCUGAAACCGAUUGGCAAAGUGGUCACUGACAUAUCAUCAGUGUCAUCCCAAGAAAUCGUCUCAUCAUGAUCUCUCAUCCAUCUAAUCCUUAGCUCGAGUCUGUCCAUACUAGAGUGAGGAUCCUCAAUAAAGGUAACUAGUGUGACAAUGGGUGGAAUGACAGCAGCCUGAUCAUGUGAAAUAGUAUGCAAAGUCUGUGUAGCUAACAUAUGAACAAGUAGAGGUGGUCGUGGUACUAAAUUAGAUGGUGUGUCCUUGAGCACUACAUGCUUACUUUGCUGAGUAUCCAUCUUCUAACUCAAACCGAUCAAUGCCUCUUGAAUCGAAGCCACAUAAGUGGUAAGCUGACUAAUUGAAAUCGACUGUGAAUCCUUCUAUAGCAACUCUGUGAUACGAAUCAACCUCUCUCCAACUCAACCCAGGGCACUGAACCAAGAUUGGGACUACAAAUAGACUCCUAUAAAAGAACCAAACAAAACGACUCAAACACAACUCAUGUAAUGACGUAGGAUGCAACAAACAAUGACCAAUGCAUGAUACAACACAACCCAAUACAUGACAAGGUGCAAUACAUAGUCCUGUGGUGACAAUCAAAAUUUGGAUAUAUGAUAGAAACUUUAGAGUCAUAGGAGUGUCCAGUGUGAGAUGGCUAUAAAUAUGACUAAAUAAAUUCUAUCAAUGAUCUAGACAAUGAAUGAGGUGUGAAGAAAAACACUAUCACGAGAUCGAUACUCAAUCUAUAACAAAAUAUCCUUAAUUCACUUUCAACCCGAGCUCCAUAAAGAAAAAUGAUAAGGUGAUCAAGGCAAAUCUCUAAAAAAUGUAUGAAUGUGAAAACGAGUCUUUCACAUUUUUGUAGUGAAAAUGAUAAGCAUCGAGUUGAAAAUAGAAUCAAAUGAAUCAAUCAAAGAAUGAAAUAUCAGGCCCAUGAUAAUUCUAGAAGGGUGAACAUGAUGGAUGAGCAUAUCCCAACAUGUCAAGCAUAGUGACAACAAAUCGAAAGAAUGUGUCAACUUAAGAAAAAAAGACUACUUAACAAGCAACAAGAAGAAGGCAACACCAUACAACAAGGAGUGGUCCAACUGAUACUCAAAUUCGCUCUGAUCUCUAAGCACUUUAUACUAGAGACCAAAAGAAGGAAGUACUGGAUCCAGACUAUAACUAAAAAGGCUCUGAAAGCUCUCAGAUGCACCCACGUGUAGGGAAAGAAUCUUGAUCGAAUGAUCUAAGGCUUGCUAGAUAGGGUCAAGGUGGCUCUAGAAGAAAAAUGGGUGGACUUUAAAGGAUCCUUAGCAGAAGCAAUCAUACCCUCUGACAGUACGCAACCCUAGGCACGCUUCUGAAGAGAUGGGGCGCUUCCAUACAAGGUGGUCAUCACCUCCACACAUGCACUAGCUCAACAUCCUAAGGGGUUUCCUAUAGUGAAAGCUCUCGCAACUCUCAGUACUCAAUAGUCAACUAAAGUGCACAGUGAACAGUGUGGGUGCAUCCGACAAACCUAUGAAGCUAAAAUAGAAAAAGAAACACACUAGUCGCACAAAUAUCCAUGAAACCUAGCUUUGGGUUAUAUAGGCCUUCAAAGAUCGGACUCCAAUCAACAUCAAUGUGUCGGUCUCCUCCAGAAUGCUCCCAAACAUAGAUAUAGGCCAUCACUAAACCUUACUCCAAAUCACUAGCUCGAUCGAAGAGCAAACAAAGUAACAAGUCUCGUAUCAAAUACGAGAUCAAAGGAAACAAGGUCAACCGAGACUAGGGAGUUGGAGAUAAAGGGAUAGAUGUGUGUCCCACACAGACGAACAACACAUGCAUCACAUAGAAAAAGAGCAGUCAUGCAACAAAGAGUUAAACAAAGUACAAGUAUAUCAUUCAUGUCCACACACAAGCCAAACGAGAACAAGACAAUCAAGAUGAAUGCAACAAGGAUGCCAUGCUCAAAGAUGAUCAAGAUAAUAUACAAGCAAAGGAGUCAACACUAAGACAACAAGAUAUACAACAAUGUGAACAUACAUGUCAAAAAGAAAAAUCAAUAUGCUAAGACAAUCAAGAAAAUCAAUCAAUAUCAUUAGCAUGUCAAUGUCUCAAAUGGAUAUAGCAAUCAAUCAGAGGAAAUCAUCACAUCAAACUCUCAAUGUGCUAUGAACACUCAAGCAUAGAAAAACACAAGGAGAAGGUAUGCAUCAACUAACUAGUCAAACGCCACAUUUGCCUCAACUUAGGUUCAAGUUUGACCCUCCUAUGAUUCCCCAGUAGAGUCACCGUUUUGUGGACCUGCGUUUUUCAUGUGCGUUCCCAUUUAACGGUGAGACUCACUUUUAAUUUAUUUAGUGAAAAAUAUAAUUUUUAGAAAAGACUUGGAGUUACCACUUAUUUUUGUUUUAUUUUUAAGGGAAAACAAAAUAAGAAGGAAAACCCUAAGUGUGACUCCUUAUUUAGAAAAGACAGUUUUUGGAAAGCCAAAGUCAUCUACGAUCCAAUAUAGUGUGAGUGUGUAGUUCAUUUUAGAGUGUCGUCAUGACCAAUUCCAUAAUUGUUCACAUCAUGCUAAAAAAAGGAAGUGAGGUCUCCCCAAAAGUUCAGUUCAGUUGGAGUUCAUAGAAGCAGGUUCAAAUACAGAGCACUUGGGCUUGUUUUGAUCAUAUCUCCCUCAUCCAAACUCGGAAUUACGCACUAUUUUUUUUUGUUGGAUUCCUUAUUCUUCAAGGAAUAUUUUGUUAAAAUUUCAAAUUUUUCCUCAACCGGUUCGUCAAGUUUUUUUUUAGGCGGUUGACUGGUUGGCAACCAGUCGACCGGUUCAUCGGGGCUGCUUACGAAUGACUUUGUUUUUGGCAUUUUUGGUACUCUUGUUCAGGUUGGUUCGAGCCCUGGUGCUCUAGAUGGGUUAGAAGGAUGGUUUUAUGUCUGAUUUAGGCCAUUUUUCGGGUUGAUUGCAACCCACCUUGAAUCCAUGAGGAUUCUUGGUGGGCAAGGAAUUAUGAAGUAAUGAGAGGACAGCUACCCACCUCAAGAAAUAGGGGAACUGAAUGUGUUAGGGGGUUCCAAAGCUGAAGGUGAUCUUUCCAAAGCUGAAUGGGAAAAAAAUGGUGUGGUGCAGAUGCUGAGAAGGAGAAGUUUGAGAGGUUUUUGGAAAAGAGCGGACGUUGGGAAGAGAAAAGGAGUUUUUUGGAGAGAUCCUAAAGGAGACUCUAUAGAAGAAAAACAAAAGUGUGGGGAAGGAGUUUAGAGGUCUUUGAGGGUUUGGCACCUAGAGAGAAAGAAAAAAACAGAGAUGGGAAGAGAAGUUUGAGGGGUUUUGAGGAAAACAGAGAGAACGGGAAAAACAAGAAAAGAAAAAAAACAGAGGUUUGAGAACAAGUGAGGUUUUGAGAGAAAGACUGAGAAAGCAAGAAGUGGAGAGCAAGAAAGUAAAGCUAGCAUACGAACCUAUUCUUGCUUGAGAUGAGAACCUACAGGUAUAUUUGUUGUGUUUCCCCUUACUUGCUUCCAUUUAUUGCUCUAUUUUUCAUCCGCUCUUGUGGUUCUUGGACAUUGCUGGAUAGUUUGGUUGUGAAAUAGUGUUACUAUUAUGCUUUCUUCCCAUUUGCUUUUGAUUUUCAUCAAAGGGCAAGCUUAGAUGUGGCUUCAGUUGUGCCACUGAUCAUGGAUCUCAUCGACUUCUACAUGAAAUGGUUUCCAUUUGUUAGGUCUUUUAUUCGUUUUCCAUGACCUUCUCUGUUUUUUUUUUUUUUUAAUUUGGGGCUACCCAUCAAUAAUCCGAACUUAAACCCUAGGUUUUGUGGCCACAUGUAGAGGUUCCAUGUAGCUAAAAUUUCAAUUUGCUUCAUGGUGAUUCCAAUAGCUGCAUUGGGGGGACUUUAGGUGGCUGAAUUUCAGUUGGAUUCAUAGGCUAUAGGAUGCUGAAAUUUUAGUUUGUUCCAUGGGAUUUAAGUAGCUAUAGGUGCAUGAAAUUUCAGUUCGAUUUCAGGGGAUUUAGGUGGCCGCAUGUAGAUGUCCAUGUGGCCAAAAUUUCAGCUGGGUUUCUUGAGUUCAGGGGGGCUGCAUUGUUGGUUGAUUAAUGAGCCCCGUGGCCUUAGUUUUAAUAAGGUUGGGUGGCUCGGGCUUGGCCUUCUACAAGGAACACAUUGUAUUGUUUCAGCCGGUUCUUCCUCAUCCGAGCUCAGAAUUGAGCGCCGUUUUUUUUGUUGGAUUUCUUAUUCUUUGAAUAAUCUGUUGUAAAAGUUUCAGAAUUUUUCUCAAUCAGUUGAACUAGGUGGGAACCGGUUCAACAGGUCCUACUAGGCAGUCCCAUUUAAUAAACAUGUUGCAUUGUUUUGGUCGGUUCUCCCUCAUACGGGCUCAGAAUUGAGCUCCAUUUUUUUUUUAGAUUCCUUAUUCUUCAAGAAAUCUGCUAUUAAAGUUUCAGAAUUUUUUCCAAUCGGUUGAACUGGUUGGGAACCGGUUCAAUAGGUUCUACUGGGCAACCCCAGUUUUAGCAUGCUUUGACUCCCAUUUUUGUCAUGGCUUGAGCCCUUAGGCUCCAAGGCACUUGUGGGUCACCUGUAGGGUCAGAGUUCGGUUUGGUUAGAUUUCAUGUGAGCCCACUUUAUGGAUGAGAAGAAUGUGGGUUAAGUGAGCAUGGUUUGGUUUGAUGGAAUUUAGAGGAAUGUGUGCAAAAGAAAGCAAACCAUUUAUUUCAUUUUGACUUGCUUCCCUCCCUUUUGGGUAUGAGAUUUGAUGCUUGAUUGAGAGUGCAUGUUUUACGCUUGUAUUACUUGCCUCACCUUUUCCUUGCAACGCAUGGCUGGGAACCACAGGUACGCACUUCGGCUUUGGAUAAUGGAAUUCACAUGAAUGCUUAGUGCAUGAUUGCUAUGUAUAUUUGUUGUGCAUUUGAGCUUAUUGACUGACCUCUUAUGCAGCGCUUGGCUAGGGACCUUAGGUAUGCACUCUGAUUUUGACUUGUUGAGUGUAUGUGCAUGCUAAAUACUAGGCGGGUCCAUGUGAUUCAUGUCAUUUGUUUAGCCUAAGGUUUGUUUGAUCUUUGACCCAUAUGCUCCUAUAUGCCCAAUUCGUUAGUAGAGACUGAGUUCCGGGCCUAGAGGGGUACUACCUCUCAUGAGGUACCUUCCCAAUAGGUAACUUGAUCCUUGGACCCAUAAUCUAGUUUUCGCAGACCGUUUUUUCCUUACUGGAGUCAUGCUGGGGUUUUUGUUCUUAUUUAAAUUUUCCCCAAUUAAAAAUAAAAAUAAAAAGUAAGUGGCUAAUCCAAACAAAACCGUUCCUCACUAGGACAAAUUUUUCAAAACUCGAAGACCAACUUUCCUUUUCACCUUUAAAAUAGCGAGUCGCGUUGGUCAGUGGAUCGGGUGAGGGUCCACAAAUUUGGCGACUCUACUGGGGAUCGAACCCAGAAUCUCUGGUUUUAUAAGAGGAUCAAACUUGAACUUGAGUUGGGUAUAUUGGAGCACAUGGUUCAUUGACCAAUUUACUCUUAGGCUUUAUAGGUGACUGGUGAUCACUUACUAGGUUGGUAUUUGACUUGCACUUGUGAUGAGUUGUUGCCUGUGUGUUCACCUGAUUGGUUGUGGCAUGUUUAUUCGUUGUUGUUGGUUCUUGGUUUUGCGGUUCAUGAUAGACUUAGAUGAUUAACUUGUGUGUAGAUUGUAUUCUAGGGUAUCUCUUUGCACAUGACUACAUACUGCAUGACUGCCCUUUUUCUUGCAUGACUGCUUGUCGUUUGUGUUUGUGGGGCGCGCUUGUAUCCUCUUAUUUUCGAAUCACUAGUCUUGGUUGACUAUUCCUUGUUGGUUUCUUGAAUUGUUUGGGAGUCAUUCCCAACUGUUUGCCUUCGACUAAGCUAGGGGUUUGGAAUGGGAUCUAGCAUAAGGGUUAUAUCGAUGUUUGGGAGCACUAUGGAGAUGACGGAUAUCCAAGCAAUGAAGACCUAUAUAGCCCUGAGCUAGAUUUCGGGGAUACCUACAUGGCCAGAGUGUCACUUUGAUUGUUGGUUAGAAUCAUAGGUUGUGUAUCCCUUUUGUGGGUACUGUCAUCUAGCUUUUAGGACUUGCCUUUUCCCGUUGUUGGCUUUUGAGCCACCUUACCCUUGAGGUAUCACCAUGUCAGAAUCCCGCUCCAACCCGUGGAGCCAUGUAUUAGAUUAGUUGUUAACAUCACAUGAUAAUUCAUUCCCUCGGAGGAUUUAGUCAUGGGAUUACAUUACGAAAUUGAUUUCUGGACUGGUAGUCACAAGGAUUGACAUACCCCUUUUCUUUUGUAGGAUUGUUGAUUGAGACCAACCUGGGUUCUCGAGCUUGGAUCAGGGUCGGAGGCAGACUUGUUAGAGGAUCAGACCAGUAUAGACAGUCGGGACAGACAUCAGUUCAAAGAGAUAUGGACCCGCAGUAUGCUACUGUUGACCAACUAGCCGAGAUCACAGAUACUAUGGCAUCACUCAAAGAUGUUAUUUUAAGACUGGGUCAGAGGAUUGACGGGCACCAAGCCCCACCAGUACCGAUUUAGGGGACCACCCCACAUGAUUCUUCCACACCCCUACCAUCGCCACCACCUGGACCUACCAUACAGUCGGACUACAUAGUCUCACCUCACCCCCCCCAGUUCAGUCAGCCCCACAGGCAGGGGCCUUUGUCUUACAUGGUUAGACUGAGACUACGCCACAUUUUUUUGUGGCCCCUACAUAGGUUGUAGAUGAUACUCAGACCCGCAUUGAGAGGAUUGAGCAGAGGGUGAGGUCACUGCAUGUCACCAAUGGAGUCAUGAGUUGGGAUGGGUAUGAUCAGCUGCCAGUUGCAGCUUUGCCGAUUGAGUUCGGCAUGUCAGACAUUGAGAGAUACACGGGGAUCGGGUGCCCCCGUAUUCAUUUGCAGUUGUACAGUGCUAUUAUGCACCGACAUAGGUUAGACGAGACAUAGAUGAUCAUGUUGUUCCCUCUAUCCCUAAGUGGUGCCGCCCAGCGGUGGUUUGCUUCAUUGGACCCCUCACGACGUCGGACAUGGACUGAUCUGGCACAGGAGUUUCUCAGACAGUAUUCCUUUAAUAUUGUAGUUGAUGUAUCCCGGAGAGAGUUAGAGGCCCUCAAACAGAGGCCAGAUGAGACAGUUACCUCCUUCAUCUCUCGUUGGAGGGAGAAGAUAGUACAAAUUAUUGACAGACUCUAAGAGCGUGAUCAGAUCAAUAUGAUUAUGGGCAGUCUUCAGCCUCGCUACGCUAGACAUCUCAUGGGCUUUCCACAGACAGACUUUGGCUCCUUACUACAGGCCCUCUAUGGCAUCGAGGAGGGUAUAUCUAGAGGAUUAUGGGCAGGUUCUUCCCCCUCAGACUCAAAGAAGAAGAAGCCGUGGUCAGGACCCAGGCCAUCAGAUGUUGGCACCAUUGGUAUGAUGGGGCAUAGGUCCUCGCGUCGGCCUCAGACUCAGAGACAGCUUUCAGAUACCUUUUAUAAGAUGAUACAGCAUGAUCAGUACAAGCCAGCUAUUCCCAUUAGGCCAGCAGGGCCUGCUUAUCUGCAUCCGUCGCCAUAACCAGUAUAUGCUACACAGGCAUUCUAGAGGCCACCCAUGCAGUUCCGUCAGUAUAGAGCACCACCUCCGCCAAGGCCAGCUAAACAGUUCACACAGCUUGGGAUGUCAUUGAGUAGAGCAUUUCAAAGAUUGGUUGAGGGGGGAUUGAUUGCCCCGUUACUGCCUAGACUACCACUACAGCCUUCCCCACCAGGAUUCAGGACAGACCUUCACUAUGCUUACCACCAAAGAGCGGGCCAUGAUACAAACAGUUGCUCAACACUGAGACAUGCUAUACAAGACUUGAUUGAUCAGGGUUUGGUUGAUUUGGGACGACCCGCAGUGACCACAGACCCAUUGCCUACUCAUGACACUAGAGUUGUACCUCCACCCCCAAGGGGAAUCCAUUUGAUUGAGCACACAAAGGGUGAUGUAUUUAUGAUGGGAUGGGAUGGAGAGGCUCCUCAGCCGAUUAGUUUGUACGAGGACUCAGAUUUUAGUGGAUAUACCCAUGGACAGUAGGUCCCCAAGCCAUUCAGGUUGGCCCUAGAUGAGAUUCCCUAACAACCCGCAGUUUCACUAGUGUAUUUACAACAUGUGCCGCCUUUGACACAUUUCAUUAUGUUCCCAAAGGGGUAUGAACCUACUCAUAGAGAUGUUCAGAUAGUCACAUGGAGCGGGAGAGUAGUACAUCCUCCACCUGUCGAUAGGACAUUUGUUGAUACAACUGCUAAAGAGGAGCUUUAGAGAGAGGACGACGAGAUUUUAUGGUAGUUGCGCACUACGCAGGCUCACAUAUCCAUUUGGGGCCUAUUGGCCUCAUCUAGCACACAUAGAGAUGCAUUGGUCAGAGCCCUUAGCCAUAUUAGAGUUGAUACUGCUACCACCCCGGAGGGGUUGAUUCACUUUCUGACAGUUGAUAAGGCUACGUGCAUUGUGUUUUUCAACGAUGACUUGUCACCAAAGGGGUCAGGUCACAUUCGCCCUUUGUAUAUCAGUGUUGCAUGUUCAGGCCAUUGAGUGCCGAUAGUCCUGUUGGACAACGACUCUGUCUUGAACAUUUGUCCUUUGGCUACAACCAUUGCUCUUGGCUUUUCUCCAUAUGAUUUUAGGCCAUCUACACAAACCAUCAGAGCUUAAGACGGGAAUCAAAUGACAAUUAUGGGUACUCUCACUUCACACGUUAUGAUUGGGCUAGUCAAAUACUCAGUGCUUUUCCAGGUUCUGAGGAUUCAGUCAUCCUUUAACUUGCUUCUUGGUCGUCCUUGGAUUCAUAAGGCUGGUACCAUACCAUCUUCCCUUUAUCAGAAUGUGAAGUUCAUACACGAGGGUCGCAUUAUCAUGAUACAGUCUGACCGGGAUGUUGUCACUUAUUCCGAGCCAGUAUUAUAGACUAGUCACAGUGAGGACGACUUGCAUUUGACCGGCUUUACUUUCGAUGAGGUUCAGGUUGUUAGUUUAGAGGAUGACAACAGAGAUAUGGUGCCUAUGUCAUUCGACCAGUACAAUAGCACCUUGGUGCUUAACAUGAUGAGAGGCAUGUCUUAUCCACCCGGCUUGGGAUUGGGUCGCCGCCAGCAUGGACCACACAAGUUUACUUUCACGGUUGAUCAUGACAUACCUUAUGGGUUAGGUUACACUCCUACAGAGGAGGAUGCACGUUACAUGGCACGACUGCGCAAGAACAAAGUAAGGACCCAUUUGUUUGGGGUUCCAUUUGAUUACCCCCUUUACUCGUACACCUUUCAGUUGACUGAUUACUUUGUCAAAGGUUCAGAUCAUGCACCCCACAUGAAGGGGAUCAUUUGUAUUUUAGAGGCUAUUGACGUUCAGGACCUCCAAUGGACCUUGGGGCAGAUGCAUUUGGGUACCAGGAUCCUUGAGACACCUGAUGUUAUAAUAGUUGCACCCCCGUCACCCGACCAAGCCAGCAUGUUCUCCGUAUGCUUCCCAGAGGUAGUUUCUGAUUAUGAUAUACUUAUGGAUACUGUGAUUGAUGCUGAUGGAGUGACUCUGCCUGAUGCUUGUACCAAUGAGAUGGACAUGAUAGGGGUAGGUCGUAUUAUCAAUGCAGUCUCACACGGUCCCCACUCUAAUUUCAAUUUGUUCGGAGUUUCUGUGAUUGACACUGAUGAUGUGACUUUUUAUGAUGCUUGCACAAAUGAGAUGGAUAUGAUUGACACUGGUUGUAUUUUGGAUGUAGCCCCGCACGGGCCUCGUUCUACUUUGGAUAUGUUUGGGGCUUUUAUUCUUGAGAUAGAUGAUGAUGACUUUGUUACUGUUGUUACUCUUGAUGUUAUUACUGUUGAGGGAGCAUCCAAUUCUGUGGACCCACCUCUUUCUUUUGACACUAUGUCCGGGUUUGUUACCCACUUUGAUGAUGUGGCUGGUGGAAAUAAUAAUGAUAUGAGUGUUUUUGAGUAUUCACCCGUGUCACUGCAUUUUCCUUUAAUUAUACCACUGACACCCAUGGCAUAUAUACAUGAUGUUGAUGAUGUGAAAGGCCCAGAUGGCCCAUUGAGUGAUCAGUCAGAUUUUGAUUCAGAUUUGGAGGAAAGGAAAGUAACACCUGUUUUUGGUAGCAUUGAGUUGGUAGAUUUCGGGACCCCUGAUCAGCCCAGGGAGCUGAAGAUUGGCACCUUCUUAUCUCCUGACGAGAGGAGCAGACUGAUUGACCUACUUAGGUCAUACCUGGAUGUAUUUGCAUGGUCAUAUGAGGACAUGCGAGGCCUUGAUCCCUCUAUAGUCCAACAUCGCUUGCCCAUCCUGCCACAUGAUAGACCAAUUAAGCAGAAAUUGAGGAGAUUACACCCUCGAUGGAGUUUGCAGGUUAAGGAAGAGAUUCAAAAACAACUCAGUGUUGGUUUCUUAUCAGUGGUCGAAUAUCAUGAGUGGUUGGCUAAUGUCAUCCUUAUUCCUAAAAAGGACAACAAAGUUAGAGUUUGUGUUGACUUUCGAGAUUUGAACAAGGCCAGUCCUAAGGAUGAUUUCCCCCUUCCACACAUCGAUAUGUUGGUUGAUAAUACUGCAGGGCAUUUGAUGUUAUCAUUUAUGGAUGGGUUUUCUAGGAAUAAUAAGAUUUUAAUGGCUCUAGAGGAUAUGGAGAAGACUUUUUUCAUCACUGAAUGUGGUACUUACUGCUAUCGGGUUAUGCCAUUUGGGUUGAAAAAUGCAGGGGCCACCUAUCAGAGAGCUGCUACUACUCUAUUCCAUGACAUGAUGCAUAAAGAUGUUGAAGUAUAUGUGGAUGACAUGAUAGUGAAGUCUCGAGACAAGGCAGAUCACUUAGCAGCAUUACAGAGAUUCUUUGAGAGGAUUAGACAAUUCAGAUUAAGAUUGAAUCCCAAGAAGUGCACCUUUGGGGUAACUUCUGGGAAAUUGCUGGGGCAUAUCGUUAGUGAGCGUGGUAUAAAGGUUGAUCCGGAGAAGAUCAGAGCCAUACUUAACAUGCCUGCUCCGAGGAUUGAGAGAGAGAUCAGAGGCUUUCUUAGCAGAUUAUAGUAUAUCAGUCGUUUCAUUGCCAGAUUGACAAACAUAUGUGAGUCUAUCUUCCGUUUUCUGAGGAAGAGCCAGCCUACAGUUUAGGAUGAUGAUUGCCAGUCCACUUUCAAGAAGAUUAAGGAGUGUCUCAUUUCUUCUCCAAUUUUAGUACCGCCUACGCCAAGGCACCAUUUGCUUCUGUAUUUUUCAGUAUCGGACAUUUCCAUGGGAUGCAUGUUAGCUCAGCUUGAUGAUUCAGGAAAAGAGCGAGCCAUUUAUUAUCUAAGUAAGAGGAUGCUCGAGUAUGAGUGCAGAUACAUUAUGAUUGAGCGUCUCUGUUUGGCACUGGUUUGGGCCACUAGAAGGCUGAGACACUAUGUGACCAAGUAUUCCAUAUUAUUAGUCUCACGAUUAGAUCCUUUGAGAUAUCUGUUCGACAGGCCUGUUUUGACUGGUAGGCUCAUGAGAUGGUUAUUGCUACUAACAGAGUUUGAUAUUCAGUAUGUCACACAAAAAUCAGUAAAAAAGAGCAUUGUUGCAUAUCAUUUUCCUUUUUUGCCAGUAUCUGAUGACAGACCGAUUGACGAUGAUUUCCCUGAUGAGCAGUUUGUCUCAGUGACUAGUAUUGCAGGAUGGCGGUUGUACUUUGAUGGUGCCGCCAAUCAGUCGGGGUUUGGUAUUGGCAUCCUAUUGAUAUCACCUUAGGGUGAUCAUAUUCCCAGAUUAGUCCGGUUGACAUUCUCUGAUCAUCACCGGCUGACGAAUAAUGUUGUUGUCUACAAGACAUGCAUUACAGGUCUAGAGACUGCACUCGAUCUUGGAGUUAGACAAUUGGAAAUCCACGGGGAUUCCAACUUGGUUAUUUAGCAGACUCAGGGUAUCUGGAGGACUCGGGAUGAGAAGUUGAAACCUUAUCAUGCUUAUUUUGGAUUUGUUGGUUGAUAGGUUUGAGGAGUUGAGAUAUAUACAUUUGCUUAGGGCAGAAAAUCAGUUUGUUGAUGCGCUAGCCACUUUGGCUUCUAUGAUUGAGAUCCCUGCGGGAGUGAUUGUGUGACCAUUGCUGAUUGAGACCAGGUUCGUACCAGCUUAUUGUUGUCUGAUUGGAGAUAUCGAGGAUCAGGAUGGACUACCAUGAUACCAUGAUAUUUAUCAAUUUCUGUCAUAUGACGCUUACCCUGAGCCAACCACUGUCAAGGAUAGGAGAGCUUUGAGGUAGUUAGCCACUAGAUUUGUGAUUUGUGGAAAGUCAUUGUACAGACAAUCGCCCGAUGGCCUAUUAUUGUUAUGUCUAGACCGUGCCUCUACAAAUCGAGUGAUGAGAGAGGUUCAUGCAGGAGUUUGUGGCCCACACAUGGGAGGACACAUGUUGGCCCGAAAGAUUAUGAGGACAUGUUAUUUCUAGUUGACUAUCGAGGCAGAUUGUUGUCAGUUCAUUCAGAGGUGUCUAGAGUGCCAGAUGCACAAUGAUCUCAUUCACAUGCCACCUUCGGAGUUGCAUGCACUCACAUUCCCUUGGCCAUUUUCAGUGUGGGGUAUUGAUAUUAUUGGAAAGAUCUCGCCCAAGCCUUCCAGCGGGCACGAGUACAUCUUAGUAGCCAUUGAUUACUUCACUAAGUGGGUGGAAGCCGCUUCUUACGCCAAAUUGACAGCGGCCAAGGUAGCUAAGUUCAUCAUAUCACAUAUUAUCUGUCGAUACGAGGUCCCUCAUGAGCUAAUCUCAAACAGAGGGGUGGAUUUCAGAGGCGAGGUGGAUACAUUGGUUUAGGAGUAUGGAAUUCAGUAUCAUAGAUUGUUUGCGUAUAGGCCGUAGACUAAUGGGGCAGUUGAGGCAGCGAAUAAGAGUAUUAAGCAGAUUUUGAGAAAAAUGGUUGAGACUUCUCGGGAUUGGUUGGAGAAGCUCCUUUUCGCGCUAUGGGCCUAUCGCACUUUUUUUUGUUCCUCUACCGGAGCUAUGCCUUACUCCUUGGUGUAUGGUAUGGAAGUAGUGCUACCUAUUGAGAUUGAGAUGGGAUCUUUAAGAGUAGCAUUAGAGCAGCAGAUAUCCAAGACCGAGUGGGCUCAGUUUCAUUAUGAUCAGCUUAGCCUUCUAGAUGAGAGGAGAUUGAAGGCAGCAAAUCAUGUUCAGGCUUAUUAGAAGAAAAUGACCCGUGCAUUCAAGAAGAGGGUUAAGCCCAAGAAAUUCCAAAAAGGUGACCUAGUUUUGAAGGUCCUCAUGGGAUUGAUCAGCGACCCUAGAGAGUUCUGACCGAGCUGGAGCGAGUUGUAUGUUAUCCGAGAUUUGACCUGAGAGGGAGUUGCCUGGUUGACAAUUCUGGACGAAAAUCAGUUUUCGUAGCCAGUCAAUGUGGAUCAGUUGAAGAAGUUUUAUGCGUGAGAUCAUGGUCAAAGGAUGGGUGGCCAUUGUUUUGAGUAGCCAUAUUCCCUAUUGCACACCCACACAUUGAUAUAUCCGAUUGCUAGCCCAUUGAGCCUCACACGAUUCAUUAUGACCUAUUCGUUCACUUAGCCUUGCAUACCUUUUCUCACCUGGGUUGGGGGUCUCCUCUUGUGCGCUUUGCAUUUAUUGUUUGGACCGGUGAGUAUUGUGAGUCCAUUGUGUCAUUGUUCUUUUGUUUCAUUUUUGGGUCAUUCAUGAUUUCUUCUUUCCUACAUUGUGCAUCUUCACUUUUUCUGUCUUUGAGUUUUGUUUCUAUCUUUUUUAUUCUUUUCGCUUCCAUCUUCUCUUGUGUGAUGAUGACGCGCUCUCGUCCCGAAGCUGCAGGUUAGGCUUGUCACACCCUACGUUCCACCCUUAGGUUUUGAUCCAGGAGUUUUAGUUUGAGUGGACCAUUUGGGUUUGGGAUUUGAGGUACAUUUGUUAGAUCAUGCUGGUAUGGCCAUUGGCUUACUUUGUCAGUUGUUCCGCAAAAAAAAAAAAAAAAAAAAAAAAGACUUGUGCUCAUUCAAUGUUCAUGUCAUUAAUACUUGGGUUCUGCAUGGUUUGCCAACAGUAUCACGACUUGAUCAUCAGAGGUCAUUUUGGGUUUGAGAGACUUAUUCUUCUUCUGAGAGUCGUUAAGAGCAUUGCACGAUCCUUUUCUCCAUGGAUCUAGGAGACAUAUUGGGAGUGAGGUUUGGGUUUCCUUUACACUAGGUUCCUUGGAUCAUUAUCUAUAUCACCACUCUCGUCAUACAGUGACUUGCUUCGAUUUGGCGUUCAUGUGAUGAGUUGUUCGUCAUUAUCACACAUUGUUACACUUUUAUCCCAACUUGUUUCAUCAUUUUCUUCUACACCCAUUCAUCAUUCGUCUUAUCCCAUUUUAUCUUCUUUUACCCUCGUCGAUCGUCAUCUCGCUUCAUGAACGAUGUGUUCUUUGGUGCACAUCACCUAUCGUUGGACAUUGUUCAUUCGGAUGUAGGAUUGAGUCACCUUACUCACAUGGUCCUCCAAUAUUUGACAUUGCGCACACAGAGGCUUGGCAUUAUCUAUUGGGUAUUUGGGCCUUUGUUUCCCGUCGUUUCAUUCACCUUUUACCUCCAGCCUUCAUUACUGUUCGAGUUGUAAGACCACCCUGAGGCCAUGAGAUCUCGUGUUUGCUUCGACGCAUUUCAAUCGGAUAGGCUCCAUCUACUGAUUGAAGUACGAGAUGCUGACAGAGCUUUAUUUCUUGGGGGAUAUCGAGGAUCACAUAUUGCUUUACAGUUUUGUCUCUUCACCUUUGGUCCAUGAUCAGAGACACAUGAUGCAGAGAGUCGAGACUGUCCAGGAUCCCCUUCGCUUGUUGGUUUAUUAUAUUCAUACUAGGGCAUACCCCUAUCCUUGCAUGAUGGCAUAAGUUCUUACACUGGGACACAGGCAGCCCAUUUCACCAAGUGACGCUUGGCAUUAGUGUUUGAGUAGGCCCCCAUAUUUAGCUUGGUUUCUUCAUACAACAGCUUGCUUUUAAGAGAUGGCUCGGGAUCAGAUUCAUGCGUAUUCGUCGACCCAGUGGGUGUGCACACUGGGGCAUACCCCAUACUUUGUCAUGUUCGCUUAUCCAAACGAUUGGGUCUUUAGUGAUAUAUUUCUCUGGUACUCGCCUGGAUCCUUCUUCAGUACUUACUCGGAUUUUACCCAUUUCCUGGUACUGUCCCAGACCCUUUUCCGGUACUCACCCGAAUUCUACCAUUUUCUCGGUACUCACUCAGAUUCUACCAUUUUUUGGUACUCACCCGGAUUCUACCCAUUUUCGGUACUUGCCCGAAUAUGAUCUCUUCUCCGACAUCGUGCCUGGAUUUCCUUGGGUUCUCUAGUACUCGCCUAGACUUGAUCCCUUUUCCUUCAGUCUACUCCAGCCUCAUGUCCAGAUCUCCUGAUCUUUUCCAACAUCACAUUCGGUUUUCUUUAGUCUUUUUUGGCAUCAUGUCCAGAUUCUUUUAGCUUUCUCCGACAUUGUGCUUGGAUCCCUUAGUCCAUUCGGUCAGCAUGACUCAUUUCCCUUAGCCUUCUUUAUUGUUGUGUGAGGACAAAAUUGUUAGUUAUUUGAAUUCUUCACUAGAGUUCAUUUCACUCAUUCAUUGCUUGCACUUCACACUUGCGUUUCACUCAUUCAUUCACUCUACUGAAGAGGGGCAUAUUUGUAGAACCACAAUUUCGUCCUUCGACACUUGCAUUUAUCUUAGGGGUGUCAUCUGCACCCAAUUUUUUUCGUAUGGCACUGCCAUGGCCCUCUUUUGAGUUUGAUCGAUUUUUGAGUCUUGUGUAAGUUCAUCUGCGGUCCAAUGUAGUGAGAGUGUGUAGUUCAUUUUAGAGUGUCGUCAUGGCCAAUUCCCUAGUUGUUCACAUCAUGCUAAAGAAAGGAAGUGAGGCCUCCCUAAAACUUUUGUUCAGUUGGAGUUCAUGGGAGCAAGUUUGAAUACAGAGCACUUGGGCUUGUUUUGAUCAUAUCUCCUUCAUCCGAACUCGGAAUUGUGCAUUUUUUUUGUGUUGGAUUCCUUAUUCUUCAAGGAAUAUUCUAUCAAAAUUUUAAAAUUUUCCUCAACCAGUCGACCGGAUGGUCAACCAUUUCAAUCGGUUCGUCAAGUUUUUUUUUAGGCGGUCUACCGGUUAUUCGGGGCUGCUUGCGAACGGCUCUGUUUUUGGCAUUUUUGGUGUCCUUGUUCAGGCUAGUUUGUGCCCUGGUGCUCCAGAUGGGUUAGGAGGAUGGUUUUAUCUCCGAUUUGGGCCAUUUUUCGGGUUGGUUGCAACCCACCUUGAAUCCAUGAGGAUUCUUGGUGGGCAAGGAAUUAUGAAGUAAUGAGAGGGCAGCUGCCCACCUUGGGAAAUGGGGGAACUGAAUGUGUUGGGAAGUUCCAAAGCUGAAGGUGAUCUUUCCAGAGCUGAAUGGGAAGAAAAGGGUGUGGUGUGGAUGCUGAGAAGAAGAAGUUUGAGAGGUUUUUGGAAAAGAGGGGAAAUUGGGAAGAGAAAAGGGGUUUUUUUGGAGAGAUCCUAAAGGAGACUCUGUAGAAGAAAAACAAAAGUGUGGGGAAUGAUUCUAUAGGUCUUUGAGGGUUUGGCACCUAGAGAGAAAGAAAAAAACAGAGAUGGGAAGAGAAGUUUGAGGGGUUUUGAGGAAAAUAGAGAGAACGGGAAAAAUAAGGAAAGAAAAAAAACAGAGGUCUGAGAACAGAGGAGGUUUUGAGAGAAGGGCUGAGAAAGCAAGAAGUGGAGAGCGAGAAAGUAGAGCUAGCAUAUGAACGUGUUCUUGCUUGAGAGGAGAACCUGCAGGUAUAUUUGUUGUGUUUCCCUUACUUGUUUCCAUUUAUUGCUUUAUUUUUCAUCCGCUCUUGUGGUUCUUGGACAUUGCUGGAUAGUUUGGUUGUGAAAUCAUGUUACUAUUAUGCUUUCUUCCCAUUUGUUUUUUAUUUUCAUCAAAGGGUAAGCUUGGAUGUGGCUUCAGUUGUGCCACUGAUCAUGGAUCUCAUCGACUUCUACAUGAAAUGGGUUUCCAUUUGAUAGGUCUUUUAUUCAUUUUCCAUGACCUUCUCUGUUCUUUUUUUUUUUUUUAAUUUGGGACUACCCAUCAAUAAUCUGAACUUAAACCCCAGGUCUUGUGACUACAUGUAGAGGUUCCAUGUAGUUGAAAUUUUGGUUUGCUUCAUGGUGAUUCCAGUAGCUACAUUGGGCGGACUUUAGGUGGCUGAAUUUCAGCUGGAUUCAUAGGCUAUAGGAGGCUGAAAUUUCAGUUUGUUCCAUGGGAUUUAAGUAGUUAUAGGUGGGAGGCUUCAGGUGCAUGAAAUUUCAGUUCGGUUUCAUGGGAUUUAAGUGGCUGCAUGUGGAUGUCUAUGUGGCUGAACUUUUAGAUGGGUUUCUUGAGUUCAGGAGGGCUGCAUUGUUGGUUGAUUAAUGAGCCCCGUGGCCUUAGUUUUAAUAAGGUUGGGUGGCUCAGGCUUGGCCUUCUACAAGGAACACAUUGCAUUGUUUCUGCCGGUUCUCCCUCAUCCAGGCUCAAAAUUGAGCGUCGUUUUUUUUUGUUGGAUUCCUUAUUAUUUGAGGAAUCUUCUAUUAAAGUUUAAGAAUUUUUAUUAAUCAUUUGAACCAGGUGGGAACCGAUUCAACAAGUCCUGCUAGGCAGCCCCAUUUAAUAAACACGUUGCAUUGUUUUAGUCGGUUCUCCCUCAUCUGGGCUUGAAAUUGAGUGACAUUUCUUUUGUUGGAUUCCUUAUUCUUCAAGGAAUCUGCUCGUAAAGUUUCAAAAAAUUUUCCUAUCGGUUGGACCAGUUGGGAACUAGUUCAACAGGUUCUGCUGGGCAGCCCUAGUUUUAGCAUGCUUUGACUCCCAUUUUUAUCGUGGCUUGUGCCCUUAGGCUCCAAGACACUUGUGGGCCACCUUUAGGGUCAGAGUUCGCUUUGGUUAGAUUUCAUGUGAGCCCACUUCAUGGAUGAGAAGAAUGUGGGUCAAGCGAGCAUGGUUUGGUUUGAUGGAAUUUAGAGGAAUGUGUGCAAAAGAAAGCAAACAAUUUAUUUCAUUUCGACCUGUUUCCCUCCCUUUUGGGUAUGAGAUUUGAUGCUUGAUUGAGACAUGAAUGCUUGGUGCAUGAUUGCUAUGUAUAUUUGUUGUGCAUUUGAGCUUAUUGACUGACCUCUUAUGCAGCGCUUGGCUAGGGACCUUAAGGAUGCACUCUGAUUUUGACUUGUUGAGUGUAUGUGUAUGCUAAAUAUUAGGCGUGUCCAUGUGAUUCAUGUCAUUUUUUUAGCCUAAGGUUUGUUUGAUCUUUGACUCAUAUGCUCCCAUAUGCCCAGUUCGUUAGUAGAGACUGAGAUUCGGGCCUAAAGGAGUGCUAUCUCGCAUGAGGUACCUUCCCGAUAGGUAACCUGAUCCUCGGACCCAGAAUCUAGUUUUCGCAGACCGCUUUUUCCUUACUGGAGUCAUGCUGGGGUUUUUAUUCUUACUUAAUUUUCCCAUGUAAAAAUAAAAAUAAAAAGUAAGUGGCGACCCCAAACAAAGUCGUUCCUCACUGGAACGAAUUUUUCAAAACUCGAAAACCAGCUUUUCCUUUCACCUUUAAAAUAGCGAGUCGCGGCGGUCGGUGGAUCGGGUGAGGGUCCACAAUGACUCUAAACCCUAAGGGAGGAAGAAGAAAAGAAAUGACUUAAAAUUAUUUGAAAACCGGAGUGAAAUUAAAAUUAUUUGAAAAUCUGGAGUUUUGAAAAUUAUUUGAAAAUUUGGGUUUUUAAAAUUAGAGUUUUGAAAAUUAAAUUUCUAUACCAAAAGAUAGAAAACAAAGAGGAUGGCGCGUCGCCUUUAGGUGGUGCACUGAAGAAUGCCCAUGCAUGGCCAUACAAGAGUGGGGCCCGGGGCAAGGUGGCUACUCUGUAGAUGCUGGUGAUUUCAACUUGAAGCAAGUAGCUUGUUUGCUGACAUUUUGUUGGCUUGAGUAUACCUUCAUGGGUUGGUCGAAAUAUAAACUUCACUCUUAAAUAUGUGUUGUUAUUGAACACUGCCAUUGGGACAUCAUCCACCAAGAAUACUAUCAGAUAUACAUUCUAAAGAGCUGAGUAUGAGUGGAAAGCCUUGGUUGGGCCAAAUCAAAGACAGAUUCUCUGUUCUCUCGCUCAUUUUCUUCCCGUGAAGAUAUUUGUUUGUAAAAUAGAGGGUUGACCGGACUUGUUCCCGGAGAACUCAAAGUCUAUUUCAUCAUGCUCUAAGUAUUGAGAAGAUAGAUAGAAAACAGUAAAAAUCUCAAUGCAUUUUUCAAGGACGAGCUGAAUCUCAGAGCCUCCAUUAUAGGACUUGAUGUGAUAAAAAACCCAUGUAGGCACAUAGUUUCUACUAAAUGGCACAUCAAUACACUUCCUUGGAGCAGCACCCCUCACUCUAGAAAGCAUAAAUAGUAAACCCAGAUAGAGAACCCACAGGUUUUUGGGUUCUGAGAAGGAGAGACUAAGGUGUGGUGAGCAUGGUAAUGAGGUUCCGGCAUGGAGUUUUCCGACUUGAGGUUUGGAUUUGCUGAAAGAAGGAUUUUGAUGGAGGCUUUGCCAAGACUUUGGGUGGCCAUUCAUGCAUGGGUCACAUGCACGUAGGGAUGGAUGGAAAUGAGCUUUCUCAGUAUCUGAAUUGAUUCCUCGUACUCAUUUCUGACUUAGGCACCAUUCCACAAAACCAAGGAACUAUAUUCGGAAAGAGGUGCUUGAAAGUGGCACACUAAAAUGUGCCCAUAAAAACCAUGCAGAAGCCGAAAACAGAUGAAUGGACUACCCGAGACUGUACAUCGAAGGUGGCCUUUCCUUGUUGGUAGCCAACAUUCAUAAACUUGUGAGGACCUCUUCCAUGGAAAACCCACUUGCUAACCUCAAUAAAAAAAAAAUUGCCCAUUGCUGAAUCUGUUUCCUGUAUCAUUCUACUCUAGACUUACUGACGCGAUCACCUGGUAUUCAUGAUGAUUUCUGCUAACCUAUGUAAUAUGUAUUCCAUUAGAGCCUCAUCUUACAGUCUAUUAAUCUCACGUUAUGGCUUUAAACACCCAGAGUUUGACUGAGUGAACCAUGUCCAACUAAUUGAUUCAACAGCCUCAUGGCCAUAGAAGCAUGUAGUGAUGGAGAAGAGGGCAUCCAAUACCCAUGGGUAUUUCCACUUAUUGCUUUAGUAGGUUAUGAGCGCAGAUAUAGUGCUUCAGAGUAAAAAGGUCCAACAGAGUGAUACAAUUGCUAAUUUUCAUGUAAAUCACAAGAUGAUGGAGACUUCCAGGGCCUAUUGUUCCUUUUAUGCUUUUGAAGAUGGGCUAUUGAAAGUCUUGAAUACACCUUCUACAGUUGUCGUUGGUGUUGUUACUGAACAACGAAUGGCAUGAGAUUCAUCAAGUCAAGCAGGAGCUUCAUGUGAUUGGCAAUUUUCAGGAAAUCACCACUAAGAGACAUAGAGUGAUGAAGCUCAAUGGAUUGCCUUACUAGUCAUCCGACCAACCAAUUGACAUCAUUGUCCAAUCCUAUAGAUCUACAAUCGGGAAAUUGGGAGUGAGAUCUUCAGAUUUAAUAACUUGAUUGUAUCAUGCUCAUCAGUUCUCUUCAUCCCGGGAAUCACCCUGGGCAUUUUUUUGUAGGUGGAUGAAUUGGGUUGUAGUUGCUUGCAAUCCCAACUAGUGUUUUUAAUCUAGUUAUUGAUGAGAUAGUUGAUUGCCCAAAUGAGAACACGAUUUGUACAGCAGGCAUGGAGGAUACUCCAUUAAGUUCACUUUCCCCAUAGCCUCACUCCUCCAAUCCCAGUAGCUUGGCCAUUGAUGAUAUCAUCCCACCAUCAACAAGAAACAGAGCACGAAACAGAGAGGAAGAAAAAAAAAUGUAAAAACAGAGUAUGAACUUAGCUCUAUGUCAUGGACCGUCAAAGUGCUAGGAGCACGUGGAAUCCAAAGGAAACAAGAACAUCAUUUUGACGUAUAAAAUUCAAGGAGUAGUGCAUUAGAUAUUUACAAGAUAAAACAUAAAAAAAUCCUCAAAAUAAACCAAAACAGAGCAUGCAUGUAUAGAGUCCUACCCGACAAAGCAAAUGAGUGGCCCUUAAUGUCCACACCAAUCAACAAAGCAAUGCUUAGAAAAGUAGCUGAAAAUGGGAAUGAAACAGUGCGAAAAUCAGAGACAAGAAGCUCAUAGUGGCUUUACCUGGAAUGCUCACUCAUAACCUCCUGAGUUGUCUCAGUUCCAGCUUUCUUUUUCCAUUCCUUAAUCCGCUAGAUCUCCUUCUCCUUCUUCUGGUCUUCACUCCAUUCUUUUUAUUCAGCCCUCCUAACACCCAGCUUACCCCUCUAUUCUUGCUUCUUGUCCAGGCCUCCACUAGCUCUACUGUUUCCCAUUCAAAGACAUCUCCUUCCUAACCACCACCAUGGCGAGGUAGCAGUGUUCUUGGUCACGCGUCCCAUGCAGCUUGCUUACCCGUGGAAGUCGUCUCCCAUUCCUCUCUGUAGUGAUGGUGUUUCACCAUCUUGCCCUCUCUCCCCAAAAGACCAAGCUCUCCUGGGGUGGUAAGAAGGUAGUGAGAGGAAAAGAACACCCCCCCCCCCCCUCCAUAACAGUGAUAAAAAAAAAAUGUCUAUUGGUCCAAAAGAGGGUCUACAAAAAGGCUCACCUGAAAUAUUUACCAUUAGUUUUAUAUGUUUCCAAAUAUUUUAAAAAAAUAAUUUUUAUAUGUAGUAUUUUAUUUUAAAUUAUUAUUUAUAUUUAUCUCAUUAUGUUUUUUAAAACAACCCUCAUAAAACAAAUGAAAACAACUAAAUAUGUUUUAAAAAAAUGAUUUCUUUACUAUUUAAUACAAGAAGUUAUUUUUUUUUUUUAUUCUGAAACAUGUUUUUUUUUAUUUAUUAUUUAUUAAAAAAUAGUUAUAAAACUAGUACCAAAGAAAAAAAAACCCGAUGUUUUCAAACAUGUUUUUUUAUUUUUCGUUAUUAAAAACUAUUGAACAACCCUAGUAUCAAAGAAAGAAAAAACAAUGUUUUUAAGUGAAGAUUUAGAAUGAUAAUUUACUUUUUGUAUAAAAUUUAAAAAAAAUUAAAUUUAAUUAUUCAAAAUUCAUUUUAAAAGUUCAAUUAAUGUUUAUGUUAAUUAAUUGAGACUGGACUAAAUAAUUAUAAAAAGAAAAAUAAACCAUUUUUAUGAUUUGAUCAUUUUUAUUUUAUUUUAGAUCUCUAAUUAGAUCAUUUGCUUAAUACUUUACCUCUUUUUGUAAAACAUAAUUUUUCUUAUAAAUAGAUAAAUAAUUAUUGUCCCGAGUAUUUUUAACUUUUUGAUGGAAAAUUUUCUUUCAACUUCCUUAUUUAAAAAAUUAAAUUUUGAAAACACCUUUCAAAAAAUCGUUUUCACUUAGAGAUAUUUAAAAAAAAAAAUCAAUUCAAUUUUCUAGAAAAUGGAAACAACAAAGGAAAGUUCAUUUAUAUUUUAAACUUGUUUUCUAUUAUUAUUAUUAUUUAAAUAGAAGAUAACUAGUGUUUAGAUUAAUAAUAUUUUUAGAUGUCAAAUUGAAUUCAUCUUCACUUAUGAUUUUUAAUUCAAUUUUUUAAAAUAAGACAUAAAUAUAAAAAAAAUAUCCAUCAUAAAAGACAAUAAAAAUAUAUUUUUUUAUAAAAUAAAAAUAAAAUUUAAGAGAUAAUAUGGAAAAGAAAAUAACAAGAGAGAGUAAGUUGUUUUCGUGACCUUUCAUUAAACCAAAAAUCCUUAUUUACAAGCUUGGGUGAUACGAAAUCCUUAUUUAUAGGUUAGGAUAAUAUAAACAGACUAAUGGUAUUGCACAAACUACUAUAAUUGUUGAUAAUACUCUCUCUUUUGUGACUACCACUCUUAGAAUAUGCUUCAUUAAAAAACUUAGUUUUUACAACUCUUAGAACAUGUCUUAUUAAAAACCAUAUUAGAAAAAAAAAACUUUAUGAAAAAAAUCCAUUGUGGAGGAAAAAUAAUACAAUAUUCUUUAAUACUUUUGUACUAUAAUUGACUUGUUUAAAACCUUACCAAUAAAACUUAGUAGAAUAAAACUUAGAUGAAAGGAAAAGGACUAUAAUAUAACAACAUCCUCAUUAAUCUGUUUCCCUAUGAAGAUUCUCGAGUUGUCACAUUCCAAUGUUAUAUAUAAGCUUUUUAAGUAUUGUAGUUGAAAAUGGUUUGGUGAAUAGAUUUACUAAAUUAUUAUUUGAUCUUACUCAUUGAACAUUAAUUUUACCCCUCUUUUAAAGUUCAUGAGUGAAAAAGAACUUGAGGGAGUUAUAUUUAGUUCUAUUACCUUUAAUAUAUCUUCCUUUAAUCUGUACAAUGCAUACAACAUUAUCUUCAUGCAACAUUAUUCUAUUGUCUUUUAUGGAAGAUAGCAUGCAUGUUUAUAGAAGUAGCUAUCAUUAUUUGAUUUACUAGCCAUCAUGAUAUUAUAGUAUUCCCAUAGAUAAACACAUAUGUUAUUUGAGAUCUAGCUCUGUGACAAUCCGGAAAAUAAUCGGUGCUUACAUAUCCAUGUAAUUAUAAUUGUGUGCAUUUUGAUAAAAUAAACCCAUAUAAAUUGUGCCACGAAAAUAGUCUCGAAGAUAAUCCUUUUUCAUGGUACUUCUUUGGUUGAUGAAGAUGGUUUGGUUGAUCCAUAUGGGUUUGGAUUAUUCCAUUAUAGUGUUUGGAUCAUUUUUUUUCACGGUGUUUUUUUAGUUGAUGGGAUGGUUUGGGUUUUUUUCUUUUAAGGUUAUUUUUAUUCUUUGGUUGAUGGGGAUGACAACCAUUUUGUGGUAUUUAGGAAAAUGUGUUUUUUUUUUUUUUUCAUGGUUUGGCAUUUUAUCAUCUUCAUGAUGGUUUCCAUUUAGUUGGGUAUAGGAUGGUGUUUCAUCUUUUGAGGUUUUGGGUAUCAUCUUUAUCUUUAGGAUACGGUUUUCAUGUGGUUUAGGAUGGUGUUCCUUGGGAUGAUGGGGAUAGGCAUCUAGACUAUUAAUUUUUUCCGUAUGGGAUUAAACAGUUUAGAGCAUGUUUGGUUGUGGGAUUAAAAAAUAGUUUUUAUUUUUAAAAGGUAGUUUUUUAUUUUUUUAAAAAUAGAAAAUUAUUUUUAAAAAUUCAAAAGACUGUUUGGUCAUUGUUCUUUAUUUAUAGUUUUUAAAAAUAAAGUAAAAUAGAGAAUAAUAUUUAGAUAACAAGUAGAAGUUGUUUUCACUAAUUUAUAAAAACAAAAGGAAAACAUAAAAAAAAAUAUAAAAAAAAUUAAAAACCUAUAACAUGUAAAUAAAAUUGAACAUGAUAUCAUUCUUCUUCUCUCCCUAUAAUCCAAUACUGAUACUGAAAAAUCUUUAAAUAUGAUAUCCCUUAAAUUACACAUGUUUUUUUAUUUUAUUUUAUUUUAUGAAUUUCCUUUAACUUAAUAAAAAAAUUGCAUUAAUCAACUAAAUUCUAAAUCGAACUAUAUUUAUUACAUAAAAUGUAUUUAUUUUUAAAAAUAAUUUAAAACUAGAAAAUCGAUUUUAAUUAGUGCUAAAAGUCAUCUAACUCAAUAACAUUAAAAAGUCGUAGACCAAAAUUCAUUUUGAAUAUCUUGUCUAGUUUAUCCUCUACGUAUAAUCAUAUUUUUGCAAAAAAAAAAAAAUCAUUAGGAAAAUAAACUCCAAAUUGAGCAAGAUUUAAUAUGUUGAAUUCAAUAACGAGUCUAAUAUUUUUUAAAAAAUAACUUAAAACUCAAAUAAUGAUCUAAUUAAUACCAAAAAUUUAUGGACAAAAAUUGGUGUAGAAUGACUAUUAUUUCUUUCAUACAUAGAACCAUAUUUUUCUGAUUUUCUUCACUAAACAAAUAGACUCAAAAUUAAAUAAGACUUAAUGUGUUGAAUUAAUGAGUGUAAUAAUUUUAAAAAUAACUUGAAACUCAAAUAGUGAUCCAAUUAAUACAAAAAAAAAUUGGACAAAAAUUUGCCUAAAACAACUCUAUUAUUUUCCUUCUACAAAGGUUCAUAUUUUUUUCAUUUUUUUUUCACUAGGAAAAUAAAAUCCAAAUUAAAAAAGAUUUAAUAUGUUGGAUUCAUAAUGAGUUUAUUAAUUUUUAAAAUAAUUUGAAACUCAAAUUAUGAACUCAUUAAUAACAUAAAUUUAAAUAUAAGAAUUGGUCUAUAUUGACUCUGUUAUUUUUUUUUUACACAUAAUUAUAUUUUUUCUAAAUUUUCUUACUAGAGAAAUGAAUUUCAAAUCAAGCAACACUAUGUAUUAAAUUUAUUAAUGGGUUUUAAAAUUUUUAAAAUAAGUUGAAACUCAAAAAAUAGAUAUAAUCAUAACAAAAUAAAAAAAACUAGACAAAAACUAAUAUACUAUGAGUUAUGAUUUUAUUGUUUCUUUGAUACAUAACUAUAUAUUUUUUUUUAAAAAAAAUUACUAGGUAAAUUGAUUCUAAAUUAAGUGAGACAUAAUUAAUAAUUUAAAUUCUUUAAUGAAUCUUCUAAUUUUUAAUAAUAAUUUUGAUUUCCAAAAAUCGAUGCAAUUAAUUGCAUAUUAAAUUAAAGCAUUCCAGAAUAUUAUGUACAUAAUUAGGUAUUAAAUAUGUGUGUAAUGAAUAUUUUGGCUCAUUUACAUGUUAAAAAAGUUAAACUUUAUUCAUUAUUCAUUUUAAAUAAAAUAUUAUUAAAAAUUAUUAUGACUAUCCCUAUUCAACAAAAAAGAAAUCAAUUAUGGUUUUACAAAGAUGUUAAUAUCUAUAUUUUUUUUAACAUAUACUAAAAUAUUAUAUAUAUUUAUAUAUAUAAUUUAUGAUUUUAUUAUAAUAUUACCAUUCAUGUUUUACAAAAAAAAAAUAAAAAAUUAUCUGUUAAUUUAUUUGUAACUACAAAACUAAUUUCAUUAUAAUACUUGAAUUAAAUUUAAUUAAUAUUAUAUAAAUUAAAUUUACAAUAUUUCAAAAAAUCAAAAUAGAAAAUUAUUUCUUUUAAAAACAGACCUAUCUAAACAAGUUUUUUUUUUUUAAACAAUUUACCAAACAUCCUUAUUUUUAUAAAUAAAUAAAAUAUUUUUUUUCUUUAACUUAAAAAUAAUUUUAAAAGAGAAACAUAAAAAAAAAAAAAAAAAUGGCCACAUAGGCCCCUUAACUUGCCACAGUGUAAAAAAUAAUAAUAAUAAAAAAGCAUUUGAUUAACAUGGAUGAGCUAAUACCCAUGUUUGGAAAAGUAAUUUCUAUACAUUAAAAAUUGUAUAUUUAACCUUGUUUACUUUUGGAUUUUUUUAUCCACAAAAAGUCCUUGAUGUGAAAUAAGGAUUAAACAAUUGUUAAAAGGAAAAUUUUAUCUAAAAGACAUUAUAUUUCAUAUUUUUAAAACAUAAAGGUCAUUCUUCCAAAUUUACCUUUCCUUUUUUAAUGAAAUAAGACAAGCAAUAAUGAGAAAAUAAAGGCUAAUAAGAAAAACACCGAAGAGGGGGGUGAAUUGGAUUUUUCAAAAACUUUUUCAACACAACAAAUUUAAGCACAAUAUAAACAAAUAUAAUGAGAUAGAGUUAGAGAAUUCAAACUUAGAUUUUAUAGUGGUUCGACAAUUCCUUGCCUACAUCCACUCUUCUCAAACUCCUAACCGAGUGAGGGUUCCACUAACUUGAAGCUUCAACCAAGUUUCUAAUCUUCUUUACACUUAGAUUUCGGCUCCAAUUGGCUCUUACACAAUCUCUUCAAGAUUCAACUUACUUGAAGGCUCUAACACUCAAUUUACAAGAAUGAUCUUCUCUCAACCUAACUCAAUAAUGGCUCAAAUACAAAUCAAAGCUAGGAUGACUCACAAGGGUUCACUAAAAGAUAUGCAAGUGAAGAUUUAAUGCACCAAGAAAGAAAUGAGAGCUUUUAAGGCAAGAACAAGUGGGUAGACAAUUGAUUGCAAAUGUUCUCUAUGUCAUAAAUGAAGUGGAGCUCUCAAUUUAUAGGUUUCUAACCUCGAGAGCCAAGAAAAACAAAAAGUUGUCUUAACCGUUUGAGCUGGGGGUCGACCGGUUCACUAGCCGUUGGAGCAUUUAAUGCUUUAGCAGGUUACCGUUGCUUUGAUCGGGCCUCGACCGAAUCUCGACCGGGAAGAAGGGUGCUUCAAUCGGGAAAGGAAAGCUACUGGAUGAGAGAGAGUCUUUUUAAUACUCCUCGACCAAACCUCGACUAGACAAGGGCAACUGGUCGACCGGUUCCCUAACCAUUUGAGCCGGUUGGCCAGUGUCUCGACCGGUUCAGCCUUUUGGCCCCGAAAACCUAUUUUUUUAUGUUAUUUUCCUUUCUAAUACGUAGGCAAAGUCUUUAGGUAAAUAAACAUGUCAAUUUUGAAAUGUUUUGCCUAAGGUACAUUUGAUUGAUAAAACUCAGGUUUUAAUGAAAUUUCAAUUUUAAAGAAUAAACCGAGUUUUCAAAGAUGCAUGAAAAGAUAUGUAAAACCUAAGUGCACCCAUGCAUUCAUCUUACAUUUGUUUCCUAUGAUUAAAAAUCUUCAAAAAUGUCUUGAUCUUGUAUCCAUUAGGUCCUUUGAUGAAUUUCCAAAUUAAUACCUGAGAUUCUUUACAAUUCAAACCAAUUAGUAACUUAACCAUGGUUUGUUAUCAUCAAAACCUGAUUAGGAGAACCCUUGGGCUAACAAUCUCCUCCUUUUUUAUGAUGACAAACCUUGGUUAUCUAGGAGAAGAAAAAAAAUCUCCCCCCUCAAACCAAUCAUGGAUCAAACAAUCAAAAUUUAUAAAGUUAAAACCAAGAUAAUCAAGACAUGCUAAUUUUCAGUAGGAAACGGUGUAAGUCAUGAACAAUUCAUUUUUCUUUCCCAAAAUCUCAUUUUCUUUUCUCAAAAUCUUAUUUUCUUUUAUCAAAAUCUUAUUUUCUUUUUCAAGACAAAUUUUAGAAAUUUCAACAAUUGAAAUUUUUUUUUUUACUUCUUCAAGUUCUUUUUCAAGUUGUUGAAUUUUCUUUUUAAGAGAAAUAUUUUUCAAACUAAGUUUUUCAAAAUCCUCAUACAAUUCUUCAAAAACAUCAUGCAUAUCUUCAUCACUAAAGUUAGAGUUUACCUCAUCAAGUUCAUCUAUUGCCAUGAAGUACAUGUUUGCCACUUCUUUCUCCUUUUCUUCUUCGGAUGAUUCUUCACUAUCACUCCAAGUGGCCAUCAUUGCUUUCUUCAUUCUUCUCUUGGCUUGAAUUUUGUAGAGAGGACAAUCAUAUUUAAUGUGUCCCAAUUUUUUGCAUUUUAAGCACACCAAAUCUCUUUUCUCUUCACAUUUCUCCUUGUCACCAUGAGAUGAUGCUUCCUUUUUAGAAAGGUCUCUUCUAGAGGUGAACCUUAUUCCUCUAAACCUUUUACCCCUCAUUUAUUUGUUGAACUUUCUUGUGAUGAGGGUUAGAUCAUCAUCCUCUUCACUUUGUUUUCCUUCUUCAACUUCUUCUUCCUUAUUUGUAGCUUUGAGAGUUAUGCUCUUCUUCUUUUUGUCUUCACUUUCUUGUAGCUUCUUUGUCAAAUUGGUCUCAUAUGUCAUUAAUAACCCUAUGAGCUCCUCCACAGGUAGCUUGGUCAAGUUUUUUGCUUCUUGAAUUGCGGUGACCUUUGUAUGCCACUUUGAUGGAAGUGACCUCAAUAUCUUCAUCACCUUUUCGGAUUCUUUGUAGGUCUUUCCCAAUGCUUCAAGACCAUUGAAAAUGUCGGGGAACCUAGUGAUCAUCUUAACAAUAAUCUCAUUUUCUUUCAUAAAAAACAAUUCAUAACUAUGAACAAGUAAAUUUAUUUUUAACUCUUUCACUUGAUUUGUUUCUUCAUGAGUUAUUUCAAGCAACCUCCAAAUUUCUUUAGCUGAUUUGCAUUGACAUGUUCUAUUAUAUUCAUUUCUAUCCAUAGCACAUUACAAAGUAAAAACGACCUUAGCAUUUAAUUGAAAAUUUCUUCUAUCAAGCUCAUUCCAUUCUUGCUUGGGUUUUGGAACCAUGACUCCAUCAACUAGUUUUGUAGGAAAAGUUGGGCCAUCUUCAAUGACGUCCCAUACAUCUAAAUUGGUUGAUUGUAAAUACCAAGUCAUUCUAGUUUUCCAAUAGGGAUAGUUGGUUCCGUAAAAAAUGAAGCUUUAUGUUUUGUAAAAUUUUCAGUGUGAGAUGAGCUUGAUGGAAUGACCAUUUCCUCUUAGACGAUUAAGUCUUAAACAAGAGGCCUUGCUUUGAUACCAAUUGAAAAAAUAAAGGCUACUAAGAAAAACAUCCAAGAGGGGGGUGAAUUGGAUUUUUCAAAAGCUUUUCCAACACAACAAAUUUAAGCACAAUAUAAGCAAAUAUAAUGAGAUAGAGUUAGAGAAUUCAAACUCAAAUUUUAUAGUGGUUCGACACUUCCUUACCUACGUCCACUUUCCUCAAGCUCCUAACCGAGUGAGGGUUCCACUAACUUGAAGCUUUAACCAAGCUUCUAAUCUUCUUUACACUUGGAUUCCGACUCCAAUAGGCUUUUACACAAUCUCUUCAAGAUUCAACUUACUUGAAGGCUCUAACACUCAAUUUGCAAGAAUGAUCUUCUCUCAACACUAGCCCAAUAAUGGCUCAAAUACAAAUCAAAGCUAGGAUGACUCACAAGGGUGCACUAAAAGAUAUGCAAGUGAAGAUUUAAUGCACUAAGAAAGAAAUGAGAGCUUUUAAGGCAAGAACAAGUGGGUAGACAAUUGAUUGCAAGUGUUCUCCAUGUCAUAAAUGAAGUGGAGCUCUCAAUUUAUAGGUUUCUAACCUCGGGAGCCAAUAAAAACAAAAAGAAGCCUCAACCGAUCGAGCUGGGGGUCGACCGGUUCACUAGCCAUUGGAGCAUUUAAUGCUUUGGCAGGUUAUCAUUGCUUCGACCAGACCUAUACCGGAGGUCGAUCGGGAAAGAGGGUGUUUCAACCGGGAAAGGAAAGAUACUGGAUGAGAGAGUGUGUUUUUAACACUCCUCGAUCGGACCUUGACCGAACAAGGGCAACCGGUCGACUGGUUCCCCAAUCGGUUGAGCCGGUUGGCCAGAGCCUUGAUCGAUUCAGCAUUUUAGCCCUGAAAACCUAUCUUUUUCUGUUAUUUUCUUUUCUAACACUUAGGUAAAGUCUUUAGGUGAAUAAAUAUGCCAAUUUUGAAAUGUUUUGCCUAAGGUACAUUUCAUAAAACUAGGGUUUUAAUGAAAUUGUAAUUUUAAAGAAUAAACUGAGUUUUUAAAGAUGCAUGAAAAGAUAUGUAAAACCUAAGUGCACCCAUGCAUUCAUCUUACAUUUGUUUCCUAUGAUUAAAAGUCUUCCAAAAUGUCUUGAUCUUGUAUCCAUUAGGUCCUUUGAUGAAUUUCCAAAUUAAUACCUGAGAUUCUUUACAAUUCAAACCAAUUAGUAACUUAACCAUGGUUUGUUAUCAUCAAAACCUGAUUAGGAGAACCCUUGGGCUAACAAAUAAAAUAGACUAUUUGGUUUAUUCAAUAUAUUUUGAUAGUGAAUUAAAUUAAAGCUAAGACUAAAUCUUCUUUUUUAAACCACAUAAUUGAUACUUAAAGAAAAACUUGUAGUAAAAGAGGAUAAUUGAUUUUGAGAUUUUACAAAUUUUGAAUUCUAUUUUACAAAUUUAUUUGAUUGUUUUCUCAUCAUAUCUCAAGUAAUGCAUCUUCAAAUAUAAGCAUUCCUCCACAUUGCGUUUGAGUUGCAAUUAAGAGGAGAACUUGGGCAUAUAACUAUUGUAAGUCCAUGAGUAACUCAUUUUGUUCAUGCACCCUAUAAGCCCACUCCCUAUGCAUUAUACAUUCUCUCUCAUUAAGGGUUAUGCCAUUUGGAAUGCAUAAGUGGUCAUCAACAAGGAUCCAAUUCCUUAUUGUGGUUUCUAGACUAGUCAUUGGCCAUAUAAUUGGCUUGAGGCCAAUUUUUCAUAGGAGAUGGUAGAGUUGCAUGAGAAGAACAUGUUUUUGAACUAUGCCCAAUUUUAUCACAUAUUUGACAAAUAAACCUCUUUGGGUUAUUGCCAUAUUGAGGACACCAAAACUAUGUUGGAGAUUCGAAUUGUUGCAGUUGAAAUGAUCAAGGCUUCCUUGAAAGUUACGGUUGCCAUGGAGAUUACCUGGAUUGUGUGGGUUGCCUCUGUUGCCAAAAUUUGGAUUUGGCUUUGGAUUAUUGAAAUGGUGGUCAUUUCCACCAAGAUUGUUGUCUUUCCCUUUCUUGCUAGAAACGUUUUUAGUUAAAUUGAGCAGUUAUUGGUGGAAUACCCUUCUUGGCUUCUUCUUAUUUCAAGAAUGAUUCAUGAUCAAGAAGUUUGUCAUGUAAUUCUUCAAAUGACAUUGAUGAGUCUCGAGCAUGAAUGGCGAUUGUAAGUUCUUUUUAUUUCGGACAAAGACCAUUGAGUGAGUCAAUGAUAAUUUUUUACCUUCCAUAUAAUCAGCUACUAUUUUUCCUUUUUUGUUGACUUUCAUGAGGCCAUCAAGAAGGCCAAGCAUGUGAGUAUGUGACUUAUUAGCUUAAGUCGCCUCCAAUUUAUUCCAAGCCUCAAUAGCACUAUUAACCCUUGAUACAACUGGCAAACCCAAGUUGUAAUAGAGAUUUGAAUAACAUGCAAGAUUAAAUGAUCUUGCCGCAUCCAAAGCUUGUGAUCAAGAUUGGCAAUUUCAUUAUUUGUUCUCGAAACUAUUGUUGUUUCAGGAAAAUAUAGGAGUGUUCCAUCUCGAUAUUGUUGGAUAUUUUGGUAAUUAUGGGCCUACAUAUUAACACAUUGUAUAUUAAGCUAUCUUAUUUUUGGCCUAAUUAAAUAUGAUCAAUUAAGUUUAAUGAUGGGCCUUUAAAGCAUCUCUUUAUGUAUAGACUGUAUGGACUUUACAAUGUAUAGAGACCAAUUUUAUUUUAUUUAUUAAUGAUGGGCCAAUAAACAAAAUAAAAUAAUAAAGGGUAUAAAUAGGGUUAUGGUCCCCAGUCUAAACGAAAGGAGAUAAAAAAAAUUGCUUAUUAUUCACAUUUCAUUAGUGAGUGAUUUGAGGCUGCAAUAUUCAUUUUAGACAUGGAAUACUAGACUUAAGUACAUAAUCUCAAUGGAUUCAAGUAUGUCUUCUAAUAUUAUUAUCCUAUAGAUUUAGCAUAAGAUUCAGGUGUAUUUAUUGUCUAGAUGAUUAGUUUCUAUAAUCAUUCUAUAUGAUUUGUGAUUCUCCAACAAUUGGUAUUAGAGCCACUCUUGUUAAAUCUAUUAGGAUUUAAUUAAAGAUAUUUCAUGGUGGAUGGAGUUUUUGAAUCUGAUUUCCAUUCAUUCACCCACCACUAUUUUUUGUGUUUGGUUGUAAGGAAUUUUUUUUUUUUUUAACCCGGAUUUUCUGUUGCAAAUCAUUUUUUAUAAAUUAUUUUUCCAAUCGACAUCAAUAUUUUUAUCAAAAGAUAUUUUAUCUUGGAUUGUUUGCAUAAUUUUCAAGAUAAAAUAUAAGUGUUUUUGAGAAUUUUGGGGAUAAAGAUGAAGUGGUUAGGUGAUAAUGACCUAUUUUUUCGUCUUUAUCUUGUUACAUUUUGAUAAGUCUUUUAAUCUAAUAGGGUCAUUUGGACAUUGGGCCUAAGUCAUUUAAGGUCAUUUGGAUUGUUGGACCUAAGUCUAUUUAAGUUGGGUUAAGUGAUGGGUAGGAUUGGACCUUUGAUCGACCCAGUUGGACCUUUGAUUGACUCAUUUAACCAACCUAGAUGGACCUUUGAGUGACUCGUUUAACUGAUCUGGAUAGACCUUUAACUAACCCGUUUGAUCGACCUAAGUGGACCUUUUAACUGACCUGUUUGAUCGUUGACUUUGAUCAUUGAUCCAAAAAAAAAAAAAACUUUGCAUGUUUAAAAUCCAAUAUUUCAAUAUAAAUUAAAUUGAAAUUAUAUGUCACCAAAGUGACCUCUAUUAUGUAGAUUUUAUUAUGAAAUUCUAUGAAUAGUAUUUAAAUCUAUGCGUAAACUAAUCAGCCUAAAGGAAAGUUAUUUUUUGCCAGGUUUUAAACACUUAUAGUAGUAAAUAUGUGAUAUUUUGGUGAUGUACAUGAAUGCAAUAAGUCAAUCCAAAGAUAAGCAUAUUGUUGGCAGGAUUUGUUAUCAGUAUUUAUUAACUAUAUUUUUAUAAUAGUACCAUUUAUGAAUUGUUAUUUUGUCCAAAGACUAAAUAUCAAUGUUGUGUUAGGUAUAUUAUAAGAGUUCAUCUUAUUGCUUUUAUGCCAUAUGUAUACAUGUAAAUUUUAUUUACAUCUUACAUGCUUAAAGUAAAUGGCAUUGUUGUUUAUUGUGAGCUUAUUACUGUAUUUUAUAUACAAUCAAUGCUUCCAUUAUAUCUACUAACAUAAACAACAUUCCAAUGCUUAAUGACACUAACUUUAGAAAAUUAAAAUAACACAUUACCAUUUUACUUGGGUGUAUGGAUCUAGACUAUGCGAUCCAGACUAAACAACCUCCCGCCCUUACUAAUGACAGUACUGCGAAACAAAGGGCUAACUUUGAAAAGUGGGGGUGUUCUAACCGCAUGAGUCUUAUGGUCAUGAAGCACUCUAUUUCAGAUACUAUCAGGGGUGCAAUGUCUGAGGAGGAAAAUGCUAAGAGUUUCCUAAGCCAAAUAGCAUACCAAUUCGUUGGAUCUAAAAAGGUCAAAACAAGUACCAUUUUGUCUAAGCUUGUUUCAAUGUGGUACAAAGGCAAAGGGAACAGAAAAUAGUACAUUAUGGAAAUGUCUAAUCUUGUUACUCGACUGAGGGCACUAAAGUUGGAGUUGUCUAAUGACAUCCUUGUGCACCUGAUCUUGAUUUCUUUCCCUGCACAAUUUAGUCCUUUUAAGAUAAGUUAUAAUACUCAAAAGGAAAAAUAGACUCUUAAUUAGCUCAUUGCUCAAUGUGUGCAAAAGAAAGAGAGAUUGAAACAAGAAAAGACAGAAAGUGCUCACUUAGCUACUACCUCUCAUGACAAUGUUGCCAAUAAGAAAAGAAAAAAGAACAGUAACAGUAAAGGAAAAUGAGUUGCAUAUAGUAGGACCUCAUAGCUUAAGGUGCAAUAGAAACAGGAUAAGGUCAUCACUUAUUUCUUUUGCAAGAAAGGUGGACAUGUAAAGAAGGAUUGUCCUAAGUAUGCAAAAUGGCUUGUCAAAAAUGGUAAACUUCUUAACUUUGUUUGUUCUAAAGUUAACUUGGCUUUAAUACCAAAUCACACUUAGUGGAUAGAUACAGGUGCAACUACUCAUAUAAGUGUGAUAAUGCAAGGUUGUCUAAGGAGUCGAGUGCUAAUAGAUGCUAAAAGAUUCAUAUAUAUGGGAAAUGACAACAAAGCUCUUGUUGAGGUGAUUAGUUUAUUUAGAUUGUAAUUAGAAUUUGGUUGUUAUUUGGAUUUGGAUGAGACUUUUAUGUACCGUCAUUUAGACAUAAUUGGGUAUUUAUUUCUCAUUUGGACAAAUCUGGCUACUCUUGUUCAUUUGGAAAUGGAAAAAAUAGUCUUUUUCAAUAUUCAAAUUAGAUUGGUAUAGUUUCUUUGGUUGAUAAUCUAUAUAAAUUGGAUAUUAAUGCUUCACAUAUUUAUGAAUCCUUGCAUGCAAGUAAUUGUGGUACAAAGUGUAAAUUAAUUGAUAAGAAUUCUUCCUUGUUGUGGCACAAGUGUUUAGGACAUAUUUCUAAACAAAGGAUUCAAAGACUUGUGUCAGAAGAAAUUCUUGAUUCCCUUAACUUUUCAAAUUUGAAAAUAUGCAUUGAAUGCAUUAAGAGAAAGCAAACAAAUGUAAAAAAAGUUGGCGCUAAUAGGAGUUCAGGUGUCUUGGAAUUAAUUCAUAUUGAUAUUCGUGGUCCAUUCCCUAUGGCUUCUUGGAAUGGUCAACAUUAUUUUAUUACUCUCAUUAUGGGUGCCUAUACUUGAUUCAUGAGAAGUCUCAAUCGUUUGACAUUUUCAAAUCCUAUAAAGCUGAAGUUGAAAAUCAACUUGGAAAGAAAAUUAAAGUUGUUAAAUCUAACCAUGGUGGUGAGUACUAUGGUAGAUAUGAUGGAUCAGGUGAACAAUGUCCAAAACCUUUUGUGAGAUACUUACAGGAAUGUGCCAUUGUUCCUCAGUACACCAUGUUAGGGACUCCAAGUCAAAAUGGUGUAGCUGAGAGACGAAACUGGACAUUGACGGAUAUGGUAAGAAGUAUGAUAAAUCAUUCUCCUUUGCCAUAAUCACUUUGGGGAGAAGCCUUAAAGACUACAGUUUGUAUGUUUAAUUGAUUUCUAAGCAAGCAGUAGCUAAAAUCCCAUGUGAGCUAUAGACUGGAAAGAAACAUAGUAUUAAGCAUCUUCAUGUUUGGGGUUGUCCAGUUAAGGCUAGGCCAUAUAGGCUUAAUGAAAGAAAAUUGGACUCAAGAACAAUAAGUUGCUACUUUGUUAGGUACUCAGAAAGGUCAAGGGGUUUUAAGUUUUAUGAUCCCUUGAGCAAGUCUUUUUUUUUUUUUUUUUUUAACCAACAAUGCCAAAUUCAUUAAGCAUGUUGAAUAUGGUGGGGGUACUAGACUCAGGAGCUUUGUCUUUGAAGAGGAAUAGUGCAACCAAAGAAUUUUGAAUCCAAAAAGUCAAAACAUCUGGUAUGCAAAUUAAAGCAAUCCAUUUAUGGUUUAAAGCAAGCAUCUCGUCAAUGGUAUCGAAAGUUUGAUCAAGUGAUUACCUUUUCUGGUUUUAAGAAAAACACUAUUGAUCAAUGUAUUUAUGAAAAGAUUAGUGGGAGCAAAUUUAUUCUUCUGGUGUUAGAUGUCGAUGAUAUUCUGCUAGCAAGCAAUGCUAUAGGCUUGUUUUAUGAAACUAAGAGAUUUCUUUCAAAUAAUUUUAAAAUGAAAGAUCUUAGUAAUGCAUCAUUUGUGUUGGGAAUAUAGAUCUAUCAAGAUCAUUCUCGUGGUAUUCUUAGCUUAUCAAAAAAGACAUAUAUUGAUAAAGUGCUUAGUAGAUUUGGCAUGAAGGAUUGUGUACCAAGAGAUACCCUCAUUGCUAAGGGUGAUAAAUUCAAUUUGCUUCAAUGCUUAAAUAACGAAAUUAAUAAGAAAGAGAUGGAGAACAUCCCUUAUGCAUCAGUAGUUGGGAGUCUCAUGUAUGCUCAAGUUUGUAUACGUCUAGAUAUUGUGUACGUAGCUGGUAUGCUUGGCAGAUAUUUAAGUAAACUGAGAAUGAUUCAUUGCAAGACAACAAAACGGGUUGUUCGGUAUCUGUAGAGAACAAAAGAUUUCAUGCUCACAUAUCAGAGAUCCGAUCAUUUAGAGUUCAUAGGGUAGUCCGACUCCGACUUUGCUGGCUACAUUGAUAGCAGAAUAUCCACUUCUGGCUAUAUUUUUAUUUUGGCUGAAGGAGAUGUCUCAUGGAAGAGUGUUAAGCAAUCACUUAUAGCUACUUCCACCAUGGAAGUAGAAUUUAUAGCUUGUUAUGAGGCAUCGAGCCAAGCAAUAUGGUUGUGGAAUUUUAUCACUGGAUUGUGUAUUAUUGAUGGCAUUGAGAGACCAUUAAGGAUAAACCGUGAUAACCAAACUAAAGAAUUAUAUUCUAAGAACAACAAAAACUCGCCAAAAUCGAAGCAUAUUGACUUGAAGUUUCUGGUUGUUAAGGAAAGAGUUUAGAGUUUUCAGGUGUCUAUUGAACAUACUAGUACAAACUUCAUGAUUAUGGAUCCACGUAACAAAGGUGUACCACCUAAAGUGUUUCAUGAGCAUGUGGCUCGUAUGGGUGUGGUUCAUCUUGGUGAUAUGUUUGUGUAGUGGGAGUUUGUUAAUUGAUGUUUAUUAGUUAAUGAGAUGUUUUUCUUAUCAAACAUAACUAUUAUUCUUGUUUUUCUUAUUGAAAACUUUGAAAUAAAGUUAUAUUCUUUCAAUUGCAGUUUUGCAUAAAGUUUGAAAGUGUGUUGAACUCUUUUGAGUCAUAAAGUUGGACCAAUUGGAAAUAGGUAUGAUAUGGGAUCACAUUACAUGAAAUUUCCAUGCUACACAUCCAUACUUGAUUUAUGUCGUUGAUUGUAUUAAUGUGGUGAUCAUUGAUGGGUCUAGUUGCGAAAUAUGUAACGAAGAUCACUUUGAUUCUAUAUUGGUAUAAUUGAGGGACCAAAUUGUUUUGAGAUACUUGCAGUCAAGAUAGCAAAUAUUGAGCUCAUUUUUGUAAUGUUCAAUUGUUUAAUGACAUAUGUGGCCCAAGUGGGAGAUUGUUGGAUAUUUUGGUAAUUACAGGCUUACAUAUUAACACAUUGUACAUUAAGUUAUCUUAUUUUUACCUAAUUAAAUAUGAUCAAUUAAGUUAAUGAUGAGCCUUUAAAGCAUAUAUUAAUAUAUAUAUAUAGACUAUAUGAGUUUUGCAAUGUGUAGAGACCAAUUUUAUUUUAUUUAUUAAUGAUGGGCUAAUAAAUAAAAUAAAAUAAUAAGGGGUAUAAAUAAAGUUAUGGUAUCCUGUCUAAACGAGAGGAAAUAGAAAAAUUACUUAUUAUUCACACCCCAUCAGUGAGUGAUUUGAGGUUGUAAUAUUCAUUUCAAACGUGGAAGACUAGACCUAAGUACAUAAUCUCAAUGGAUUCAUGUAUAUCUUCAAAUAUUAUUAUCAUAUAGAUUUAGCAUGAGAUUAUGGUGUAUUUAUUGUCUAGAUGAUUAGUUUCUAUAAUCAUUCUGUAUGAUUUGUGAUUCUCCAAUAGAUAUCCCAAGAGAUCGUAGUCAUAGAAAAGGUUGGCAAAUUGUUAACACCAUUAAGCAUAGUUCCUGCUUUUGACAAUUUUUGUGGAAUUUGUGUGGUUGUGUUGAUUGCAAUGAGAGUUGGUGUUUGAAAAAAAAAAAAAAGAUUGGUACUAGCAUUGAUGACCAUCGGAGACUCAGACAAGACUGAGUUUUCUGGAGAUGCAGUGUAGGAGGAAGAAAAUUCAAGGAGGAGAGGUAGGAAGGAAAGUCAAUGGGGGAGAGCUUGAAGUUUGAAGAGGAUUGAGUUUGCUAUCUUAGAGCUUUGGGCUCUGAUACCAUAAUAGCAAAGCAAUUGAAGAAUGAAAAGCUACACUAUUUUCAUUCAUCCAGUUACAAGUAUAUAUAUAUGCAGAAAACAAACGCGAAUGAGGAAAAUAUGUGAUUUGGUUUUAUAGUUUAGGAAUGUUGACUAUUGGACAAUAAAAUACAGAUGAGAAUUAACCCCUGCAACCAAGGGUGGAGUGAUUCAUAUUAGAAAAUACAUUUUUAAAAUAUUUUAAAAUUUAAAUUAUUUUUAUAAUUACCAUUUUUUAUAAAAGGUAUCAAAAAUUCAUUAUAGGAUGCUAAAACCCAUGACGGUGCUCUUUCUUAUGGUGGUGCUCUUUUGUUCAAGUUCACAUUAUAUUGGUUUGCUGGAUGGCGAUUUCUGUCAAAGUCCACCCUAUUUUAGUCUAAUGGAUGCUAAAGAUGCCAAACUUUUGUCUUGCAGGAUGAUGACGUAUAUUGUUAGAAUGCAUUUGACAAUGAUUAUUAGAAGUGUUUUUAGUUUUUCUAAUACUUGAAAAUUUUUAUUUUUCACGUAUUAAAAAUACUAAAAACACUUUUAAAAAUUACUGUCAAACACGAUCUUAGUACCCUUUUCACUUUCAAAGCUCUAUAUUUAGUUAAAAUAAUCCAAGUCAUUUUAAAUUAUCAACUUUUUUCUGUUGCAGGAUUAAAAAGAACAUUAAGCAGUGACAUGAUAUAAUUUACUUAUAUAUAUAACUGCGAAAAAUUAUUGUGCCUUUGAGAACGUCAAUUAUGGCUGAAAUUUUAUAGAAUGGGCCACUCCCAUUUAUUCCAUAUCUUAAGAUUGAAUCUUCUUUUUAAAACCCUUAAUUCGUGAAUACUUCAAAUCUGUUGGGAGUAUAUAACAGAAAAAAAAAAUGCGAAUGUUAAGAAUGAGAAAUCAAGGAAUUUCAUUACAUGCAACAAACAUAAAAUCACUCAAACCCUUUCUUUAAAACCAACCAAAACUGUGUUUGGGGUUUUAAAUAAUGUCUGGAAAUCUAGCCCAGCUGUUCUGCUAUUACUAAGCAUCAACUCCAUUUGCUUAUUUAAUCAUAUACCUAUGCCAACAUGGAAUAUAUUAAAGCACUCAGUUUCUAAGAAAUAUUCUACCUCUAUAUGGCCUCUCUAACGUGUAUCCAUGUUGGUUAGGGGUAAAAUUGCUGGGCUCCUUCUCGUCGGCCAUUGUUGCAUCCUUGUGAAUAAAGUCUGCGGUUUGCCCAUCAUCCCUUGCUGAACCCACUCUCACCACUUUCGGACCAGUCCACACAAGCAGUUGCCAAGUGAAAGCAGGAGGUAGAUGACAUAUAUCCCAGGUCUCCAUGCAUCUGGGAACAAGAGUGAAGCCAAUGAUGCCAGUGAGAGGGAACCGGAAAACACCAUGAUAGUACGGAGGACAGCAGCACAGGUAGGAGAGAGAUGAAAAGAAUGGAAGGUGGACUCGAUUCCAAAUGACAAGGCAAAUACCAGUAAACCAGCAAUAGCCACCAAGGUCGUCUUGGGAUGGACUUGAAAUACAGAGUUUGACUCAUUCUGGAACUUCAAAUUGAUGAGGUUGGUGAGCAAGGGAAGUAUGAAGCUAAGAAGGGCCAGGAUGGCUUUACGGGAAGUGGCCAUUAGACUUCGUUGUUGUCGGCGGUUGAAGGUAGCGCAGUAAAUAGGCAUGGUUGUGCUCUGGAUAUAUUCGCAAUUUAAUUAGACCUGUUGAGCAACAAAUUAACAAUGAGGACACAGAGAUUAGAUGAAGAUUUGGAGAGAAAGAUCAUAAUUAAGGAAAUCAAUAGAAGAAAUUCGAUAACAAGAGUUUGAGAGGUUUAACUAACCUCUAAUCUCCUCCGGUCCUUCAAGAUACCUUCACCCUCAACUUGUCUUUGAGAGUCAACUUCUCUAUAAAUAACGAAGUAUGUUGACUAUAUUUGCCAUCUUCCUUCUUGUAGUGGGUCACAGCAGCAAGCUAUGGGGCCUGCCAUCUCAGCAGGCUGUAUGGGGUGGUGUAACGACUGAAAGCCCUUCUGUUGCGUGCAUGGAAUAGGUUCUUCUCACCACUGCUAACAUGCCAUCUGUCUAUCUGACUUUACUUGAGCUUUAAUUUUUUAUUUUUUGGUUUUAAUGUAGAUUAAUAAAUUAAUUAAUACCUUAUUACAUAUAGUCAAGUAUUUAAUUCCGAGAAACCAAUAAUUUUAUAUUGCUUUAUGUAUGUCCACAUCUAAAAAUGAUCAUAUUAAUCAAUUUGUAUAUGAAGACAUCAUAGAGUGCUACUACUUCAGAGAGAGGAAUUAAGAGAGAAGGAUAAGUGUAAAUAAUUUUAAUUAUAUUUAAUUCUCUUUCUUAUUUUUCAUAAUGAAACCAAAAGAAAAAAAAACUAUAUUUUUCCUUAAAAUUUUCUGGGAACCAAACACGGCGUUAUAGAAAAAAUACUUUAAUUAAAAGUACUUCACAUAGAAAUGGCCUCUAACAUGCUCUUGCUUCAUUCGCGUGUAUAUCUCUAAGUAGGCAAAUGGUCUAUGAGAGGAUUGGGAAAAAUUGUGUUCGCAAUAUGCAAUGGAAUUUAACUCAAUUUAUAGUGUGAGAACUCCCCGGAUUUGGACUGAUCGAUACUGAGGGUUUUGACUUUAAUGGUAAUAAAAGCACAAACCUCAAUCUUUAGAAAGAAAGUAUGUUUAUUUUAAAGGUUUCCAAACUCAUUUUGUUUGAAGAAUAUUUGAUUUUUUGAUUAUCCGUUUCACUUAUGAGGAGAUGAGGAAAGGAUUAAGGAGUUAAAGUGCAGUGGAAAAUGUUUUUAUUUUAAGUGUUUUUAGGGAAAGUGUCCUUUUUAAAAAAUAUUUUUGAAAAAAUCAUUAAUUAAAUGAUUCUUUAAAAAGAAUUAAAAGUGAUUUUUUAAAAUUUAAAAGUAUUUUCUGAAUUUUAUCAAUUGUAAAGUUCUCUUUAAAAAAAAUAUAUAUUUUUUUUAUACACUAAAAGUGGUUUGUUAAAGCACUACCAAAUGCAUUCUAAAUUAAUCAAACAAAUUUCUUUAAUUAUUUUUUUUUCUUGGUUAAAUGCUCAUUCGGGAGGUCAUCAAUUUUAAAAACCAAGUCUUUUGGCUCUAUGCAUAAUCAAUGCAACAUUAAUGUACACUCAAUGAUUAAAAUAUCGUAUAUUGAUAGAUCUCAAAACGAUAUUUAUCACAGAUAUAACGACAAUCAACAUGAUCAAAGCUCAAAAAUAAGUUAUUUUUCCAUCGUUGAGGGGAGUACGACCUUGCCCACCACUAGGGCAAGUUUGCCCCUUGAAGAAUACUUUGAAGAACAAGUUAAUUAUAAUUAUUUUAUAAUUAAAUGAAAAAAUUUCAUUUAAUUUAUUAGUAAAAAUAUAAAAAUUAUCAUAAUAAUUUUCUUCAUAGUGUUUUUCAUAUCAUUAAUGUAUUAAUUAAAUAUUAAAAAAUUAUACACUUAUCGUCAUUUAUGUUAUAGCCUUUAAUACAAUUAAAUUAAAUGUAUCAUAAUUUUAAUAUUAAAUAUAUUUUAAAAUUAGACAUAUUAUAAUCAAAUAUCACAAUAUUUGAUAUAAUUUAAUAAUCAAUGUACGCUUAUCAAAUUUAUAUUUUUUUUAUUGACACAUAUAAUAUUAUUAUCAAAUAUAAUAAAUUAUAUAUAUAUAUAUAUAUAUAUAUAUCAAUUUUUUCAACAAAACAACUUUAAAUGUCCAUUACAUUUUUAAUUUCGUUUCUAAUAUUUAUUUUAUUUUAUUUUUUAUUUUUACAUUAUUAUAAAUUUUGAUCAAUUUUAAGUCCAUCGAUAUUUUAUGUCAAAAUAUCCAUUAAUAUUUCUCUGAUAUAUCCAUAAAAUCAAAAUAAAGAUAUAUAUAUAUAUAUAUAUGAUUGUCGAUAUUUUUAUCCUUGAUAGGCUAUCCAUCUCAAUAACAAAGAAUGGGCCGGUUGAUAGAUGAAUCUAUGUAUCCAUCUUAAGAAUAUAUGUUAUUUUGGUAUUCGAUUUUUAAGAGCUGCAUGUGACCUAACGUAUUUAUUGUUGUGGAUGAAGUUUCGAUGUGCUUUUGAUCUUAUGGCUACGAGAGUUAAUAAAAUUACCUAAGAGGCAUGUCCUCGAACACACCACACACUGGCCAAAUCAAUUAACCUACGAUAUAUAUAUAUAUAUAGCCCAAAGCAUUCCCAAGAUACAAACCUGAGCCAAAACCCAUCUCCAAAAUAAGCUCAGGAAAAGCCCAUUAUGGGCAGUUGAUUAGUUUACUACAUUCAUUACAUGACUUGGUUUGAUAACACCGACUCCAUUGCAACACUGAAAAUAAUUCAAAUGUGCUGGAUGACUACUAAUAUGCAGCUGGUACACGAGAGCUACAUCGUGACAGCUGAACCAGAAGGUACAGAUCCUUCUAAACAUGGAAUUGUCUAGGAGGAUAGGUAAUCAGGUGUGGAUAUGGAAUCAGCUAUAAAGUCAUUUGGCCCAAGAUCAUCGAUAGGUGGACGUUGUCUAUGGUGCUCGGUGACUGACUGAUAAGCCAUGGCUAGU
rnacentral:lncRNA from 1 species